UCGAGAAGAUGGUCCAGGAGGCUGAGAAAUACAAGUCUGAGGAUGAGGAUCACAAGAAGAAGGUUGAAGCCAAGAACGCACUGGAGAACUAUGCCUACAACAUGAGGAACACAAUCAAGGAUGAGAAGAUCAGCGCCAAGCUAUCUGAUGGGGACAAGAAGAAGAUUGAGGAUGCUAUCGACCAAGCCAUCCAGUGGCUGGACUCAAACCAGCUGGCCGAGGCCGACGAGUUCGAAGAUAAGAUGAAGGAGCUCGAGAGCAUCUGCAACCCCAUCAUUGCAAAGAUGUACCAGGGCGCAGGGGCUGAUAUGGGCGCCGGCGGCAUGGAUGAGGAUGCCCCUCCCUCGGGCAGCAGCGGUCCUGGUCCCAAGAUUGAGGAGGUCGAUUAAGUUGCUGGAAUUUUAAAGAUGACCUACGCCUAGGUCUCAAGCGAUUGGGUUGUUUCUACUACUUUUUUUUUUGGCAAUAUCGAAGUGUAUUUUUCUGCUUUUUAUUUUCCUGUGCCCCUAUUAUUGGCAUUUGAGUCUGAUUUUGAGCCUCCAUCAUUCUGUUCCCGCUUUUUAAUGUUUUGUUCCAGUCCUUCAGCGAUGUUCAUGAGUUUCUGCAUUGUGAUGUUCCGGUGUCACGGGAAAAGCAGUGGAUUAGUGAUGACACGUGCUGAUUGCUAGACGCGUCAAGGCUGGAUACAUGUGGUGAUUUUCCUGUUGAUCGCACAUGUUCUUGUCUCCAAAGGUUAUAAACCUCAUUUGAUAAGUGUGGGACGACUUGCUAUUGGGUCGUCAUGUCCUCCUGGAAAUUGGACGGUGAGGCUAUAGGCUAUAGGCUAUAGGAUGUGUAGAAUCUGUAGACUGAAGUAUAUUUUUCAUCUACUUAUCUUUAUAAGCAAGACAAAGGGUCUUUUUUUAUAAUGUAUAUUUUAAUUCAUUUUUCAUAUUAACGUUUGCUUGGUGAAAUUUUUUUGAAAAAAGAGACAUACUUUUUGGUAAAUCAUUUUUCAGGAAAAUGUUUGGUUUUUUUUUUUUGUGAUAUAUGAUUAAAAAUAUUUUUUGAUGUUCAUAUCUCAUUUGGAAAAUGAUUUGAAUCUAAUAACUUUAUUUUAAAUGAAUAAAUAAUCUUUUUUGAAUAAUUUUUAUUUCCUUUUCCUUCUUUGGCUGUGUUUGAAAAUUGCAUUGCAAAUGGGCUUUGAACACCCAAAGUCCUUUGGACUAAAUAUGAGGUGUUUGAGAAAAAUUUUACAAGUUCCAUUAGUCAAAAGCUAGCCUUCUUAAGGUUGAAAGCCCAAGGUUGGUCUUAGGGUGCCUUAGGCUCUCAAAAGCCUUCUGCAAAUGUAAAAAUUAUUGUUCAUCAUCUUCCGUGUUCACUAUUCAUCUUCUCUGUCAAGGGCGGUCGGUGAGGUUGCGUAGGGUUGCGAGGGGCUGGCGACCGGCUAGAGAGAGGCUGGCAAUCAUUACGGUGACCCAGGCAACAGUCACGGCGACCCAAGCGACCAUCACAAGGGUGUCGUGGCGAUCUCCAUGCUAUUUGGGUCACAGCGGCCUCCACGAGGGCCGUGCGACCUCAGGUGAGGGUUGCGUGGCCCCAGCGACAGCUGCUUGAGGUUGCGCGACCACCGGUGAGGUCGUGCGACCCAGGUGCAGCCCUCGCCGAGGUUGCAUGACCUAGGCGUGGCCCUCGCCGAGGUCCCUUGACCUCAGGCGAGGGUUGCGUAGCCUAGGCGACACUUGAUCGGGGUUGCGUGACUACCGGCAAGGUCGUGCGACCCAAGCGCGGCCCUUGUUGAGGCCUCUCGACCUCAGGCGGGGUCUCACCGAGGGUCGCGCAACCCCUGCCAGUGGUCGCCCGACCUUGGGCGGCCCUCACCAGUGGUUUCCAGGGACCACCUAAGGUCCAGUGACCUUAGACGACAGCUAUUGCCGGCGAUCUCAUAUCGCUGGUGACUGCUGCCCUUACCGACCAAAUAUAUAUAUUAAUAGUAAAAGUACUUUGUAAAUAUAAGUCUUCCAAACAUCAUUUUGUUCAAAAUACUUCGUGAUGGACUUUUAGAUUAUAAGUUUCCAAACGUAAUUUGCAUUUUGAAAAACCUCUUUCACUUAAAGUUUUUUGCAUUUUCUUAAAGACUUUCCCCAAUCUAACCAAAUGCACCCUUCCUCACGCAGGCCUUAGCAACGAUCACGGUAGGCCACUAGCGCCUUUCUUGAGGCUUGAUGAGGUUUGACCUGGUUGGCCUCGGGCAAGGUUGAGCCUUGUUGGAUCCCUCGACCGUGGGUGAGCUCGAGCUUGCAAUGGCAAGGUAGAGCUCCAUUGCAAGCUCGAGCUCUCCCAAGGCUAGCAAGCUUGACCUUGCUCGGGGUCGAUGCUUGCUAGCUUGUGCCGGCCCUCGCCUAUGGCCAAUCACUUGCAGAGGAGGAAGGAUAAAAAAAAAGAAAAAGAAAGAAGAAAAAAUAAAAUAAAAGAUAAAAAAUAUUUAACAAUUUGAAAUUUUGAAUAAGAAUAAAAUAUCCAAAAAUUCAAGAUGAGCAAUUUCGGAAAGUGUUUUUACCUUCUUAAAUUUAAGAAUUUACUUUCCUAAUUUUAUGCAUGAAUAUUUUCCUUGAUCGGAAAGGUUUGCAGUUCACUAAUCAUUUUCGGCAAAUCAUGAGAGUAAAAGUUCGGAAAACUAAUCCCGGGAAAAUACUUCACGUCAAACAACAAAUGCACCCUUAGUUUAGGAAGUGUAGAUCAGAUAGACCGUUAGCUAACCCAUCUAAUAGCGAGUACUUUACUUUUGGUGGUGGUGUUUUAGAGGCAAGAAACCUGUAUUAUUCUCACCUAAGAGGUCUCGAGGCCGGAUCAAUCCGCGCUUGUAGUGCCGAAAAAUUGAGAUUUUUUAGUUAGUGGGCUGUAGGGCGGACCGGCCUCCACCCUUUUUCUGGUAAAAAAAAGGAACAAAACAAGCACUUUAAUCCCCCGAGUGAGAGUCCACUAGCAACUCGUGAAUCAGAGACUAAGAAAUGGAAAAAAAAUAAGAACCGGAAAAGUAAUGGCAACCCGAAGAGGAAUCGCUUUUGCCACGGGCUCGUAUAAGGAAAAAUGAAGCUUUUCCAUAGUAUUAAAAACAGCAAGUUGAGAGCACCGGGGAUGACAUUGCCUUGCGAUACGGUAACGAGGGGCGAGGCUUUGAUCUGUCGCUGUCGUGGCCCAUAGAGAAUCCGGAUGAACUUCGGGGACUGGAUCAGUGGAUCUUGCUUUUCCCCCCUCUCCCUUUUGCCACUUCUCCACCCAAGGUGCUCAUGACUUUUGCGGAAAGGCCACGGUAUCUAGUCAUCAUCCAUCGAUCUUUGGCCGCGGAGAACUCCCACUAAAAGGAAGAACAACAAUUGAGGAGAUCAGAUAGGAUAGUGAAAUUGAUUGAGUAAAUUGAUUUGGGGUGAAGCUACUGACAGAGCCAGUGACAUUAGAGAUUGAUAGGAUAGCGAGAUUGAUCCUAUUGUUACAUAUCUCUGAAAGUUUGAUCCUAAGAAUUAGUCGCCUUUGAUUGUCAAAGGAAUAAAUCUCGAUCAUUUAUUAAAAUUUUCUGAAGUGUUUGUGGGGUCAGAAUUUAUUAUGGUAUAGCGUUUUUUGGAAUGGUGGAUUGGUCCCUCCAGAGACAAUAGCAAGCUUCAAGAUUACUCAUGCUAAGCUUGAAGCCACCCUCUACAAGCCAUGAGACUCCUCAAAUUCAACCUCACUUUAAUAGGACCUAGCGUUACUAGAAUUGAACAAGGUUUUGACGGACAAUACGAGUUUUAAACCUAAAGAAAAUAGGUGUAGACACUAGACAUCAAAUUUUUAACUAGAUUUUGACUAAAUUUUGGUUGAAAGUCAACAACUCAAAAUUUAAAUUGAAAGGUACAAUUUGAUCGUGCUUUGCGAGAGCUUUCCAAGGACACACGAUUUGACCAAAUCAGACAGUUGGAUCGUUGGAUAUUGCUACUUUUAAUUGUGAAAGUCUGAGUUCAAUAAUAUUGGAAUAAUCAUGAUUUUCGCAAAUCAGCUAAUAAGACCAUGUGGAUCUGAUGUGAGCUUUCUAGCGCUUCAAGAAUCACUUCAAUAGGAGUUUUGUUAAAAGAAAUAUCAUGACUUAACAUCUUGAAUGCCCAUUUGGCCCAACUUGUGGAAAUCAACAAUCCCGACACUUUCUAGGAAAGAGGCCGCAUUGCCAAAAAGUCAAGUCACGAGCUCUCUAUGGAUGUGAGAAUUGGGUCAAAUUGACUGAUGGAUGAGAAAAAAAAAUGGGUGAUCAAAGAUUAGUCAAAGGUUAAGGAAUAUACAUACGUGUGUAUAUGUAUGUAUGCAUGUGUGUAUAUAUAUAUUUUAAGGACGUCAGGUUUCAAGAUGGGCCAGCCGAUGACUGCGACGUGGCAGUGGCAAGGUCGAUGCGGUGCUGCACAGCGCCGGCUAAGCCCGCGCAAGGACGGGCCGACGAUGAGCAUGGUGGGGGUGAAACUUGCGCAGGGCCAUUUUUGGCGAUGUGCAAAGGCUAUUCCGGUCUCGUGCAAGGUUCCCUACUGAUGGUAACUCUCGUUUGCAUUUUUCUUAAACGUAAACGAGAUGGAAAUUCUCUCUCAUUAAAGGUUCACUCGAUUUGUGGUGUUUGGUGUGAAGGCAUCAAAGCUUCCCCGGUCCAGGCACGUCCCUCGACCUCCACAUUUAUAACAUCAUCGCGUCAUAUUUUUUAUUAUUUGUCAUAUCAUAUUACAGGUAAUUAUCGAUAGGUCAUCUUAUUUUCUUAUAAUGUUUUGAAUACAAUAUGUCAUGAAUAUUAUCAUGUCACGUCAUUUUAUUUUCAUAUUUUGAAUCUAACUUGACAUGUCUUGACGUAUGUAGAUAUUGCCAUGUCAUGUGAUUUGCAAUCGCGUUUUAAAUAUAUAGUGUAUGUGGCCGAUAGGGGCGAGCUUUGCCAUAGGCCAGCAAGGUCAACCUCGCGGACGCUCACCUCUAACUGGUUGUCGACCAUCACCUCUAACUAGUCGUCGGACCUCAACGAUCGGCUAUUGAAAGAAGGGAAGGGGAAAAAAAAAAGAACAAGAAAGAAAAGAGAAAAAAAGGAAAAAUAAAAUAAAUAAAUAAUUCACAAAAAUUAUUAAAACAUUUAUAGAAAUUGUCCACGUCGAGAUUAGAUGUGUUAUGUAUGACGAUUAGUAUCCAUGUCAAUAAUUCCGGAUAAAAUUGGUUGGAUAGAUUAAAUUAUCACAAAUAGAUUUAGGACUUCUUUGGAAGUUUUUUUUGCAUGACAUAUAUCUUAUCAUCUGUGGUGCUUACUUGCUACGCCACAUGUGAUUGUCAAGCGUGCAACUAUCCCAUGAGGUAUCUUCUCCCGCGGAAACCCACCUCUGCUAAUUUUCUCGCUUUGCUUUUUUCCUUUUUUCGCAAAAUGGAUAUAAUUAGUUAUUAGAUGGAAAAGCACAUCGUGGUCCAGCAGCGCCUACUUGCAAGGCUUGUCCCAUUGCUAGGGUUUUGGAUUAUAGAAAUCCAAGGUCAGAUUCAGUCCAUCCCUUGGAACGCGGCAGUGAUGGCGGGGGCAUCAUGCAAUAUUAUAUUCCAAGAGAUAAUCCAUCUUCUAGGAAAUUCAAAAGCGACGGCUUUGCAAGAGUCGUAUGCAAAUUCGCUACUUCAAUCUCAAAAGGAAGACUAUAAAAAUGGUUGAACCCAAAAGCAGAAGAAUAAAGGAAAAUUAGGCUUUUCAUUCAACCAACUCUCUUCUCUUUCUCAAGACUUUAAAAAAAAAAAAUCACUAGUGGGUUACAAAAUUGAACAUUACCUACAUUUUAUAUUUUAAUUUAGGUGUAUGUGACAAAAAAGAUGUCCAAAAUUUUUAACCCACAUGUCAAAGACAUGGUUACAGGAAGCUUCCGUCCACUAGAGAUAAAAUAAAAUAUGACUUAAAAAAGCAUUAUAACAAGAAGACUUCCCAAAUUGUUACCCGCCAUGAUACUAUCAUGCCCAAACAUGCUUAGUUUUGAACUUUUUAAUAAGUUUGCAUGCAUCAAUGCUGGUAUGAUCACACACCCCCGAAGAUCCGGAAAUUCUUCAUUCACCAUGAUGUUACAUUGGGCCUGAGCUCACCAAUUUCUAAUUUAUAUAUAUAUACUUGAUAUGGCUAUUGACUUCUCUUGUAUAGUUUGGCGGGGAAACUGGAAAGAAAGUGAGGAUACAACCUCCAUCAGAUCAGAAGAUUCCCAGACUAACCCGGGCAGGUGAUACCUGAGGAAAGGGCAUUAAUUGCUGACUUUUCUAAUGCAUCGUUUUUCUUAAUGAUUAGUUGAUAACAAUGCCCACUUAUAUGCGUUGCUGAGUAAUAAUCGAGGGAAGGCCAUGUGCCGAUGUGCGGCCAGGAGCUGAUACGCAAUUCGAUGAGUACUAUAUAUAUAUAUCUCCCAACUCGGCUUGCAUUUGGCAUCUUGUGAGCUGAGCCACCUCUCGAAUCUCGAGGGCUCUCUUGUAAUCUUUCGAAUUUUUUUUUUUAAAGAAGCCCUCACAGUGAUUGAAAAGCAAGACUCACCUACCUAACCAUCGACUGUGUGAACCAUCAACACUUAUAAGAGGGGGAAACUAUCAAAUCCACCUUGUAUUUUCUGCGCGAAUGUCAAUUUAGUCAUAAAAUUUUUAGCUUUGUCAAUUUAAUUAUAAAUCUUUACAUGAAAUUUCAAUGUAGUCUAGCCAAUUUUCGCCAGCGAUGAGUAGAGCAUUAUGUUAGCAAUUUUUUUAUUAGAAUUGAUUGGCAUGAUUAUAUAAAAAUUCCAUUGAAAAGUUUAGAACUAAAUUUGUAUCAAUAUAAUAUAUUUUAGAUUGAUUGGAUACUUUUUUUUUUUUUAUUACGAGAGUAGAUACUUUGGUGUUCUUCCUUUCCACGAGUCAAUAUUGUGUCAAUCUAGCCCUUGUCAUGUACUUACAUUUUUUUAAAUCAGAUCCGAGGUACUAUACUUUAUCUAAUCUUAAAACAAUUUGUUAUUUUCACAUCACUCAAAACGCUUGCUUUCUGAUUUCUUUUAACUCUAUGAAGUGGAUUUAGGUUCAUAACAUAAUGUAAUUUGGUACUGACACCUCAAAUUUUCCUAAGAUUUCAAAAAAUUUAAAUAGCUUACCUAGGCCAUCGAAAGUUGUCAAGAUUUAACGAAUGAGAUGCAAGGCACAAAACCUAUUUUCAAUCUGAAAAAUGGGUUAUACUCAUCAAUACAAAUUUUUUUAUACACAUAUUGCCACUCAAAUCCGACAAUCAGUUUUGUCCUGCAUGACCAAUUAGCCUUUUCGUAGUGUCAAGAAGUUCGGUUUUUUUCUAAUUUUGUACGCAUGCCUUUUUUUUUUUUUUUAUACAUCACAUCGCAUGUCAUUUGCACAUGUUUUAUAUGAAUUGCUACGCCAUUUUGCAUAUCAUUCACUCAUGUCUUAUUUGAUUUCCAUGUCAUUUGUUCAUGUAGUAUGUGGUUUCUCACGUCAAAUUCCAUAUCAUUUACUUAUUAUGUAUACGAUUUCUAUGUUGUAUUGCAAGUCAUUCACACAUGUCAUAUCUAAAUUGCUAUGUCAUUUUGCAUGUUAUUUGCUCAAGCCAUAUUCAAUUUUUUCCUCAUUAAAUAUGUCAUUCGGUUAUGUCAUAUUCGAUUUCCAUGCUAUGCCACAUGUCGUUCUAACAUGCCUUCUAUGAAAUGCCGCAUCAUUUUCCAUUCUAUUCGCUCAUGCCAAUUUCAAUUUCUAAGUCAUUACACAUGCAAUCUCUCAAGUCAUUCAGCAUACCAUGCAUCAUUUGAGCAUGUUUAAUUCGAUCAUCUUACAUGGCAUUCGUGCAUGUCAUAUCGGAUUACCAUGUCAUUCACGCAUGUUAUAUCAGAAAUUUACACCACAUCAAUGUGCCAUGCUCAACCAUUACAUAUUCAAUUGCUAUAUCGCAUCGCAUAUGACUCCUAAGUCAUAUCCAUACUACUCAUCGAGUUCGAUACUUAUUAUACCAUAUUGAGAAUUAUUUGGGCCAUCACAUAUAUGUGUACGCAUGUAUGAUAUCUUCCUAAGAUAAUGACACAAAUAGUUUAUAAAAUUUGAUUUAAUGUGUAAUGUGGUCUCUGAACUUUUAUGUUACUCAAUGUGAUUUCUGAACUUUAACUCAAUACGUAAUAUUGUCCAUAAAAUUUUAAUUUAUGUAAUAUGAUAUUUGGAAUUUUUGUACAUGUUCAUGUUAAUUGCUAAACCAUAUGAAAAUAUCAAAUAUUAAUUUUUCAUUAAUUCAAGUUCAAGGACCACAUUAAAUAUUUUAUGGAUUACAUUGAACAAAUUGAUAAUGUAGGGAUGGCAUUACACAUUAAGCUAAAGUUCAAGGACUAUAUUGAAUAAAUUAAAAAUUCAUUGACUAUACUAUAUAUAAGAUUAAAGUCUAGGGAGCAUUUGUGUUAUUUUUCCUUUUUUCUUGGGAUAUGACGUAUGAUAAAUUUGACCAUUCUUACUUCUACAAUUUUAAAAAUCCAAUCUGAAAGGAGAUAACCCAAUAAAAGCAGAAAUGCUUAUCAUGUCAUGUCAAUUCAUCCCCACGUCGAACUGUUCCCUUUUUCUUUUUUUUUUCCAAGUUCCCCCACUUUGCUUACUGGUUAAUCCUCUUCAUUCGGUCCAGCGCAGCAACUCCACUCCAAUCCGAGGAAAGCCCGAAAAGCGUGAAAGAGGAAAAGUCGUGGGGGCUGUCGGAUGGAGCGUCCUGUAGCGCACCACCACGCGCCUCCACUUCCCCAAAAGGGCGAGGGCGGGCGGAAUGCUGCCGCUUUUUGCACAGCUCGUAUCGAGAGUUGAAUCCCAACCCGCCUUUUGAAUCUCUCUCUCUCUCUUCUCUCGUCAUGCGCCUUCUUCUACAGGGAGAGAUAUGAUUGGUCGGUCCUCCUCGGCUGGUGCUGGUGCUGGUGCUGGUGCCGGUGCUGGUGCUGGUGCCGAUCUUAGGGGCAUAAAAAUCAACCGUCCGUCAUGGUCCUCGAGCGUUCCGAAUUUCCCCCAAAUUGACGACCCUUUUGCCUCCCUCUCCCUCUCCCUCUCCCUCUCCCUCUGUUCUCCGCAUUUCUUGUCUCCCCUGACCUAGCGCUCCUCCUUGGUGUGCGGCGCACUCGCUCGGAUUUGGCGGCGAUUCGAAAUGCGGAUCGACUGUUGAUGUUGAUUCUCGGCUUCUCUUUCCGGGUAUUUAUUCGAAUAUCUGCUUUCCAAUUCGUUGAUUUGGCUUUGCUUUUGGGCUGUACAGCCCGUUUUAGGAGAUGGGGUUUGUGGGUGGAUUUGCGUGGGUUCGACGAAUCUGUUGCUUUAUGGAGAAACUGCGGCGGCGGCGGCAUUUCUAGGGUUUUUUUGGAAUCGAGUGGUUUUAUUUAUUUAUUUAUUUGUUUUGUUUGGUUGCCGAGGAAAUGGGAGUAAACGGAAAGAAUAAGAUCUGAGCGAGAUUAGCACCAAAAAAAUCUGGCCUUGGAUGGUGAUUUUUUUUCUUGAGUAUUUGAAGGGUUUUCUUGGUGUUGGCGAUUUAAAUCUCGAUGGUACAGUACGAAGAAGUUUCUUGGAUAGUUAAAAGUAUCCCUCGUGCGAAUCGUGUACCGUAAACCUCAGUCUUCUUUAGUUUGCUGAUUGUAGGAUUGAGAAUCAGAUGCAAAAUGAAAUUCUCUCUCUUCGACUUUCAUUUUGUCCUGAAUCCAACUGAAGUUCAUGCGCAUAAACUUUAUUGUUUUUGUAGUUGUGAGAAAAGAAGUUGCGAUGUGUUUGUAAGACUUGAUUUCUGUUUCCAGGGCUGUGGUGAUCUCAGGAUGGUUAGGUGUGCUGCGGGAUACUCACUGAAUCUGAUGGAUAACCUCUUUCGAUAUCUUGUGGUUGGAUUCUUGUGGGUUCCAUUCAGGACUGUACUUGUGAGGGGUCUCUGUGGUUUUGUGGAUUGACUGAUCGCUGCUCGAAGAAUCCUGUGUUUGCUUUGAUUUGUUUCGUGAGCAUGUUAGGAAGAUCUUUUCUCUAACUUGAUUUAGAAGCACAAGCUGGAGUUAAGACAGCCGAAAGUGAAAUUUGUGGGAGAAGCUCUUUUAAAAGCACUGUCAAUGGACAGCCAGAGUCCAUGGACAAAAAUGAACAGCCAUCAUCCAUCGACAUUGUUGUCCAUGGACUCUGGCUUUUUGUCUCACGAUGAAUUGGAGAGAGAGAUACAUGGCUCGAUCAUCCAUGGUGGACCACCUGAUAUCAAUCUCCCUUUGUCAUCAAGGCCUAGUCCGCCUCCUGUAGCUUGGAACAACCCCUGUGAUAUUUUAGAUGUUGGUUUGGGAACCCAAAUUUGUGAAACAGAGAUGACUGUUAAUAUCCCAAAAGUGGGGCGUAAAAGCAACAAGCGCAUUGAUAGUGUGUGGGGCGCCUGGUUUUUCUUUAGUUUCUACUUCAAGCCCGUGUUGAAUGAAAAGUCCAAGUCCAAAAUAGUUAAGGACCGUAAUGGUGUGUCCAGCUUUGAGAAAUCAGACUUGCACCUCGAUGCUUUCUUGGUUCAGCAUGAUAUGGAAAACAUUUACAUGUGGGUUUUUAAGGAAAGGCCUGAAAAUGCUCUUGGCAAGAUGCAGCUGAGAAGUUAUAUGAAUGGGCAUAGUCGGCAAGGGGAGCGUCCAUUUCCCUUUAGUGUGGAUAGGGGUUUUGUACGUUCUCACAGGAUGCAGAGGAAGCACUACCGCGGCCUCUCCAAUCCCCAGUGUGUUCAUGGGAUUGAAAUUGUUCGGACACCCAAACUUGCGGGUCUUGAUGAGCGAGAGCUGAAGAGGUGGAUGGAAUUGACUGGCAGAGAUGUAAACUUUUCCAUUCCUAUGGAAGCUAGUGACUUCAGUUCCUGGAGAAAUCUUUCAAGCACUGAUUUUGAGCUUGAGCGGCCACUCCCUUCAUCAAAGAGCAACACAAAUCACCACUCCAGGAAGUUGCUCAAUGGCUGUGGUUUAAAUCUGUCUACCCAGCCAUCGGACCAUAGUAAUGGUGAUGUAGUGGAUCUGUCGCCCGUUCGCAACAAAAGGAAGAAAGACUAUUCUCCAAAUGGAAAUAGUGAUGACUUAAAUUUAUCAAAUGGUUCUCAUUCUGACAGAGGUUUGGAUCUGAAAAUUUACUCGGUUGAGCCAUCGUGGUUUAAUGAAUUUACUGGGGUCAUGAAGAAUGUCUGUGGCCCUGCUACAGCAGCGAAAACGAUAUAUGAAGAUGAUGAAGGGUUUCUGAUCAUUGUUAGCUUGCCUUUCGUAGAUCUUCAUAGGGUAAAAGUUACAUGGAAGAACAUUAAUUCACAUGGGAUUGUGAAGAUAUCCUGUGUUAGUACAGCUUGCAUACCUUUUAUAUCAAGACACAAGAGGACCUUUAAGCUAACAGAUCCAACACCGGAGCACUGCCCUCCAGGAGAGUUCAUUAGAGAGAUUCCCCUCCCAGCCCGUAUUCCAGAAGAUGCUAAGUUGGAAGCAUAUUGUGAUGAGACAGGGACAUUGCUUGAGAUAAUUGUACCCAAGCAUCAUUCAGGACCUGAAGAACAUGAGGUUCGUGUAUGCUUCCAGCCCCUCCACUUGGAGUGAUUGACCUGUGGUCAGCCCAGAGGAGGGAUUAGCACAUGUCCGGUUUGGCAUUAUUGUGGUUGCUGCUUCGUUGUUAACUUAGAUAAUUUCAUAGUAGACAUAUAGAUUGAAGUCUGUACUGUCUCUGGACGAUGUGCUUGUCUUUGUACUUCUUUAAUUAUCGAUUCUCAACUCCCAUCGCCUGACGCAUUCUUUUAUGUGAAUAUUUUGUUGAGACAGUGAUGGGGCAAAUUCAUUUCCCACCUGGUGAGAAGGUGGUUCCAGGCGCUUCUUAACACUCUUGUUUAUCCUCAUCGUUACUACACCUUAUAUUUACUUUAGUGAUGUUUCUUUCAAUGCUUUUGGUUUGGUGGGAUUUGAAAUCUUACUUUAAUGAAAUGAAAAUCAUAUGGUCUGGUAUGACGUGGUACUUCUUUGAUGUUGUCCAUCCUUGUUCUUGUGAUAAGAGUUGUGACCCAUAUAUGGGUCAUAUAUGGGUCAUUUCAAUUUUAUAGACCUUUCUUAAAUAGGUUUAAAAUAAAUAGGUCUAAAUGGGUUGAGUUUGUGACCCAUUUCCAACUCAAGGCUCACACACACACUCUUUCCCUUUUUAGCCUUAUAAUAUUUUUUUUAAAAAUCAGAAUUAUAAUUAUAAUUAUUUUUCUAAUUUUUAUUUAUUUUCUUUUUUCUUCCUUCUUCCAUCUUCCUGCGAUAGCAACCAGUCAAGUGAGAGAUGAGCUAUUGGCCUUGGGCAAGACUUGAGCUCGCCGGUUAGGUGAGGCCUCGAGCGAGCUCAAGCCUCGCUGACUUGUGGCGAGGCUCAACCUCGCAUGUGGUUGGUUGUCGGUCGAAGAAGAAGGAAAAAUAAAAUAAAAAACUAUUUUUAAAAAGUAUAUUAAAAAUUAAUUUUAUUAAAAAAAUAAAAAAAUAUUUACAAACAUAAAAAAAUAUUGCAUUUUCUUAUAAAAAAUUAUAAGAAACAAACGAAACCUUUAUUAUUUAAAAAAAUUAUGAAAAUCUCAACUAAAUUUGAAUUACAUGAAAAUACUUUAGUAGUACUAUUUUUUUUUUUUUUAAUUCAGAAGAAAUUUUUUUUUCUAAAUUUAGUUAAAUGGGUUGAGUUGAAUAUGAAUUGGGUAUAAGUUGGGUCGGGCGCAUUUGCAUUAUAAUAGAUGGAUCAUAAACGUGUUAAAUGGAUCAAUUAGGGUCGGAUCAUUUAUGACCCGACUCAAUCUAUCCAUUCAACAGGUCUAAGUAGUGGUUUUCUAUCUUCAUUCAAACCUUUUUCAUUAACAAUAAUCUUACGUUGAGGUGUUUCCCCUGUUUGAGAACGACAAUCUGCGUUACAAGAAACCACGUCGAGUCCCACUUGGUGAUGUGACGAGGUGCAAGUCUACGGUUGCUGGCCAUAGGUGCAAGUGAAGUCGCAUUUGCACAACUAUUGUGAAGACGAAACGGUUCUCAACAAGUUUGAGAAAACUAGGUGAACUUUCUGCUUGCUUUCCUAUAAGACAAGAAGAGAAAGUGAGAUGAAAUCUCAUUAAGUGCUUGGUUGAUCCUGUUAAUUGAAUGUAAAAGGGCGACUGUAUUUCCAUAAGGCUGAGUCCACUCAACUUUACCAAAAAGAUAAAAUUACUUUCAAUCAUUCAAUUGCAGUUACAAAUUUCAUGUGAUGUGAAUAUACAAAAACACUAUUGCUUUUGAGUCCUAAUACCAUAGGAGCAAAGCGCCAUGUUGGCGUAGCAUGCAAUUAUCUAAUUAGACCCACUCACGAACUGACACGUGACAAAGGUAUUACAAUUAAAUAAAACCAUGUGAAAAGUUGACUGCUAGCCAUAAAUGUAGAUAACAGCUUUUACAAAAGAAAUUUGAAUGUAUCUUCUCAUCUUCAACCCUCUUUUGCUUUUCCCUUCGAAGAGAGUUUGUCUAUCAAGAUUAACUCCAUUAGAGAAAUGUAAGCCUGGCCGCCUUGUUUUCACUUAGAAUCGAACACCUCCAUUUUCGCUUGAUUGCCACUCAACCUUUUCUUAGAAGACCUCCAUUUCAUCGCUUCGAAGAUCGCUGCUUUCUAUUAGAAGACUGCCGGCUGCCACUCUGAAGACCUCCAUUUUCGUGAGGACCGCCGCUUUGAAGAUCUCCAUCUUCGUGAAGAUUGCCGCUAGACCACAAGUCUCGUUCCUGCUUUGCAUCUGCUCUACCAUUACAGCAAGUUUUCAUUCUUCAAGUCUCUCUUUUUGUGGAUGCAAAUUUUUGGGCACAAAUUUUGUAAUUGUUCACGACUAAUAGUAGCGGUAGAUUGCGUUCUGCGUUAGAUCUUGAUUUGAGAGAGUGGAAGGAGUUGGCUUGUAUGAGAAUUUUGCGCUGGGUCUUUGAAUUAUGAGCAAUUGUGGUGAUGACACUCCAAGAAGAUUUGGUUUCCUUGAUUGAAUGAAAUGACGGUACCAUUUUGAGCUUUGAAGGGUUUAUAUGUAAUUUCAUAAGUUGAACUUUAGUUUAAAAGGAUUGGUUUUAGUGUUUCCAAUGUGCAAUAUGGCUACUUUUUGUGAUUGCCUUUCUUCGUCAAAUUCCACAUCUGAUGUAGAGUGUUUUUUUCCUUUCAUGUACUAAGAUGGUUAUGGACGUUAUUUACUGUUUUAUGACUAGUGAAAACAUUAAGCAAAUCUAGCUAGUUAAGAGUAGACCUGUCAAAACGGGUUUAUUGGGUCAUGUCACGUCGGGUUUGGGUUCGACCAUUAAUGGUUCGACCCAAAUUGACUCAUUUAUUUAUAAUGCAAAUUUAUAAACCCAUACCCAAGUUAGCCUAUAUUAUUGAAACACUUCUAAUAAUAUUAAAUGCAGGAAAACUCAUAUCUAGACUUAAAUGUGGAGUGAGCAAGUGUGCAAUCAAGUGAAAGGAGAGAGAAUGAACAAAGAGUCAUAAAGGUGAGUUGGAUCUAAAUAAUUAAUAAACCCAUUCAUGACCCAUUUAUGAUCCACUUAACACUUAUAUAUUAUGUUUAAACCUAUUUAUAAUCCAUUUACUCAAUAUAAUUGAUCCAUAGAUCAACUCAACCCAUCAUAUAUGAGUUUAUGACCUAUUUUGAUAGGUCUAAUACAAGCAACAAGAUGCUUAUAAUUUUUUUCAUUACUUUUUUAGAUGGUAUCCAUGAGAGGAAGAACAAACUAAGGCACAGGAAUGAUGGUAUGGUAGCUUGGAUACAAGUCAUUGUUUUUUAAUAGAGACAUUUCAUUUCACUUGUGAAGGAUGGGCACAGUUGAACAUUUCAACACAACCAUGCAUUCUUGUUCUUCAUUCAUAACAAGUUUUUCUUUCUUUCAUGUGGAUGAGUGAUACAAGUGUUUUAUUCAACACAAGUCGUCAAUCAUAAAAAAGAGGGGUAACAUUUUCUAUAGAUUUAAUGGAAGGUAGGUGUUGGAAAAGUUUUCGAGGUUUGCAAAUAAGUGAGGUUGGAUUAUUUAAGUUGCUCAGUCUUAGUAUAAUUUUGUUCAUCAUGACUCUAAGUUUAACUACUUAUAACAUUAUGAUUUUAGCAUGACAUCUCGAGUAUCUUCCAAUAUGUCAGUUGAAUUUUCAUCCAAGAGAUGUCCAUGUCCUCAAGGGAAAUUAUGCAUGAUAAAAAAAAGCACAAAAGGAACCAAAGAAGAUUAAUAGUAUGCCUUGACUUGCAAUGUAGGUGUUUGCAUUUAUCACCAAUUAUUUGUGCAUGUUUUGACAUAUUGUAAUGCUUAAUAUUGCUUUACAUUGAUGCCUUUUUCUUUUUAAAAUGCAUAAUUAUCGUGGGUUUGUGCAAUGCAUUGAAGAUAAUAUUGAGAAAAUGCAUACUUAUUCACCUAAAUAUGCCGAUGUAGUAGAGUUUGAAGAGGCAUCAAAUGAAAAUGGAGAAUUGACAAUCAUCACAAGAGAUUUGAAAAUAAUCAGAAGAAGAAUGGGCAUUUUUAUACAACAAUAGCAUUGUAUAGAAGCAUCAUAUCUUUUCUCACUAGAAUUGUGAUUUCCAUAUUAUUAUAUGAUUAAUAUAUGAGCCCGAUAAUUAUGUACAAUUUUUUUUAUAUGAUUUUAAAGAAAUUUAGAGAAGAAUUAAUUUUCAUCUUUAUUAAUGAUAGUUCAAGUUUGGUUGGGUGAGUCAAUGCAAACUCAAACAAAAUUUUUAAAUACUCUGUCAAGCUUGAGUUGAGUUUCGUAUAUGAAAUAUGCGAGUCAAGCCGAACUUGAGUAAAGUUUGUUUAAUUACGUAAUUGAAUGGAAACAAUAAGUAAAAAUUUUGUCAUUUUUACUGAAACUAGAACAAGAAUACUUGUAGUAGCCCACAAGUCACAAUUGUUUUCGUUAUGUAUUCUUAAAGUUUGCCGAGAAACAUUUGCACUCAAAGUAUGCAACCCAAUUUAUGUCUUCGUGAUAACCCAAUUCAUACUUCUAGGAGUAUGAAAGAUAUGGUUUAUCGAAUUAUUUAAUAUGUUUGAAAACUAAAACAAAUUGUUAGAUACUUUUUUUUAUUAGAAUUGGCGCCAUGAUGAUGUUCUCGUUAUCCUGGGACCUAUGUGCUUCUUAGAUUUAGAUAAAACUCAACAUGAACAAUGAACCUGUUUAGCAGUCAGAGCACAUAAAAGCUCAUGCUUUAAUAAGAUUAAAACUAGCAAAGGACAUUUCAAACUUAUUAGUAAAAGCCAAACUUCAGUAAGUAGGAAAAACAUUACAAAUUAAAAGAACAACACAAAGAUUAUGUUUUCCACAUGACCCCAUUGAUAUUUGGUCUUGUUUUCUAAAGUACAUUUGCAUUCUCAACUAGAUUCAACAGAUAAAAAUAUUCUCAUAAGAAGACAAUCACAAACUUCUCUAUGAUCCAUUUUUAUGGUAAUUUUUUCUAUAUAAGGUAAACAACAAUCUCAAUAAAAGUUGAGAAACAUAUAGAAGAUGUUAAGCAAUGAAUAAACAAAUCAUCUCCUAACAAAAACAAAUCAUUGAAAAUUUAAUGCAUCAAUUGCUUGGGAAAAUUACAAAAAAAAAUCCUAAACAUAUUUCAAAUGAGCCAAUUCAAUCAUAAACUUUUUAAUUUUGUCAAAUUAAUUAUAAACUUUUUAACAAUCUUUGAAUUAUGCCAAUUUAGUCCUAAAUCAUUUGAUAAUUUGAAUAGCUAAUUUUAAUUGAAAAUUGCUUACACGGCACUCUAAUCAAUGUUGGCCAUCCUACAUGGUGUUAGCCAGCACUGAUGAAGACAAAUUUUUUUAGUUUUUUCUUCUUCUUCUUCUUUUUCCUAACCUUGGGUUGGCGAGAGCAUGGAGGCCCAAGGUUGGAAGAAAAAGGAAAGAAAAUAAGAAUAAAAAAAGAAAAAAAUUAGGAAAAUUUAGAAAGAUUUUAAAUUUUAAAUAAUUGGAAAAAAUUGCCCAUGUCAAGGUUGGUCGUGUGUCACGUUGGAUGACCAAUAUUAACUAGAUUGUCAUGUCAGCGAUUUUCUAUAUCGACAAUUUGUUAAAAUGUUUGGGACUAAAAGGCACAAUUGAAUAUUUUAGGACUAAAUUGACAAAUUCUCAAAAUGUUUAUAACCGAAUUGAUAAAAUUGAAAUAUUUAUGACUAAAUUGAUACAAGUACAAUAGGUUUAUGAUUUUUUUUUUUUUUUUGGAAUUUCUCAUCAGUUGUUUCCACAUUAAACUUGCUUGCUAAAGGAAGAUCAACCACUAAUGACUACAAACUCUUUUUUGGGGUCAAUCUUGCACAAAAGUUACAGCACUAGAAUUACUUCAUGUCUUUCUAAUGCUUAUACAUAUUUUGAAUGGAAUAUUACAUAUAAAUAAGCUUAAAGAAUUGAUGGAAUCAUUCUAUCACAUUAAACAAGUAUCAUACCUUGUGCAAGGUGCCUCCUAUGCAUGAAGAUACUUUUUUCUUUAGCUUUUUUCAGACAUUGUUCAACUAAGUGUUUGUUAUACCUUUUGGCCUUCUCCCAAAGGGAUCAAGUACUUAAAUUUCACAAUUUUAUGUAUCUUUAGAUUCAUCACUUUCUACUAAGAAAUCAACAUGACUUUACCCAUUAAAGAUUGCAUUUCGUUUGUGAUUUGAGAGUGAAGACGCAACAAGUUUGUAGUUGCAAGCUCCUCUGUACCAUCAUGAUUGGCAUUGAAGUUUAUAACACAAAAUGCUAACUACAUCAAUCUUUUCAAACGCAAUAACUUUGAUUUUACCACAUCACGAAAGUUUUGCGCAAAAUCAUCACAAUAAAUUCCCUUACUUUGCAUUUUUUGUCAACCUCUUCAAAAUGUAUCGUGAUGGAUUACAACAUAUGUUAAGAUGCAUAAAGCACGCAUAAACAACCAUCUUUGCAUUUCAAAUAGCUCGCAAUUACAUAUAAUGGUAGAAUCACUUGCACUAAAAUGGACCAUAUACUUCCAUUUACUACUCUUGAUUUCCAUGAUAUAAGUAUGCAAUAGCUCGUUAGUUUUUUUUUUAUAUAUCUAAGAACAUGUUUAGACGAAACAUGCAAAAACUCGGCCUGUAAAUUCCUAUAAAUGACAUGAGUAUAUACAUUUCUAGCAUAUUGUAAAAUUCUACUAUUUUUAAUCAUAAUUUAUGGCUUUCCUCAAGUACACUCAAAAUCAUCAACAAUUUUAGUGUUGUGAUUUUUCAAUUUGACCCUCAUAAUGAUUGAUAAAUUCAAAUAAACUCAUGGUCUUGCAUGUCACAUCUUAAAACACAUUAUUUGUGCUCUCGCUUCUUUAUGUAGAUCUAAUUCUUGUAAGAAAAAAUCACAGUGAAACAUGAGACACCAUUUAUGAUGUAAAUGAUACACAUAUCUAACCACUUGUUAUUAGCUAAGCUCUACUCUUAACAUAUAUCUUUCCAAGUGUUCUUCAUUUUAAUUUUACAUUUACAAUGAUAUAGAAGCUUGUGCCAAUAGUUAUCUCAAAAACCCUGUUUUUCAAAAAGAUGUGCAAUGAUUUGUUGCAUUUUUCCCAAUAUGCCAUAUGCAUAAACGAUGAUCAGAGUCGAAAAAACAAUUAAAAUGGCAUUUGCCAUGACAUGAUCUUAAUCGGUGAAAAUAAUCUUGGGUGCUUUGUUACCAAAGAGCUCCCAAAAAAAAUGAAAUGUCUAAAAAAAACAAAAACAAAAAAAAGUAAGAGUUUCAUCCAACAAAAAUGUAUAACCAAACAGAAUAUUAUUCCAAUGAUAAUUCAAGCCAACAAAAAAUGCUCAUCAUAUCUUAUUUAUUUGUACAGCUAAUAGUAUCAAAUAUCACCAUAUCUCCAGAUCUCUCAUAGUCCAACUUGCAUACAUUAUCAGAACAUUAGUCAAUCUCUAUUCUUCAUCAAAUAAAAAUGUAGAGGAAAAAUGUUUCCAUUUGAUAGUAAAUAAUUAAAAUGAAUAAGACUUUAACAAUCACCCGCACUAAUUGGGAUUUUUCGUUUUUAUUAUAAGAAAUUUUGACAAUCACGUUAUAUAAAGCCAACAUUAUCCGGCCCCCGCUUCACUACUAAGGUAGGAAUAUGCUAUUGUAGCCUUUGUAGCUGCCCUAGCCAUAAAAGUCAAAAUACAUUCACUAGUAGUUGUUAUGUGUUGAUACAUUUGUAUCAAAUGUUUUUGGAGGUUGGGACACCUGGAGUUCCAUAAUUUGGCACGGAGGGACACUUAAGUGCCAAAACUUUAAAAUUGUACACUUAAGUGCCAAUAUUGGAGUAAAAUUGGAUACUUAAGUGCCACUUCGGCGAAAAUCCGACCAAAUGGUUGACGUUGCCAUUUUCCAGCGAGUUUGGUCCAAAACGGCGUCGUUUUGCACGCUGACGUAGCGGAGAAAAUGCAAAAACGACGUCGUUUCGUGUCUACGUGUAAAUGAUAAUAUAAAAAUUAAGCACGGGGUUCGUUCNNNNNNNNNNNNNNNNNNNNNNNNNNNNNNNNNNNNNNNNNNNNNNNNNNNNNNNNNNNNNNNNNNNNNNNNNNNNNNNNNNNNNNNNNNNNNNNNNNNNNNNNGAAGAAAUGCUCGCUCAUCGCCGGAAAGUCGCCACGUCAGCCAUUUGGCCGGAUUUUCGCUGGAAUGGCACUUAAGUAUUCUAUUUAACUUCAAAACUGGCACUCAAGUGUACCAUUUUAAAGUUUUGGCACAUACGUGUCCCUCCAUGCCAAGUUAUGGCACUUGGGCUGUAUUUCCGCCAAUGUUUUUGUUUAUCAUCAAUGAAAUAUGAAACUUAGCAACUACCCAAAGUCCAUUUUCAAUUUUAAAUUUAAUGUAAGCUUGAUAUCCGAUUCUCUUCAUUAUUGUUAAAAAUUGCUUUGGUCAUGAGGUGGGAUUGGAGGAUAGUGUCAUUCGCAAUAACAUAGAAGUGUAGAGAUAAGUACAUUAGGAAUGCCAUAACUUUUGUACAAUACUCACUUAAGUACCAAUACCUUUUUGACGCUCACUUGAGUGUUGCAUCGAUGUUCACUUGAGUGUCAUUUCUGACAAAUUGUCCUACGUGAAUUUUUUCUUAAUUUUCAAUUCCGAUUUGAAAUUUUAAAACUAAACUAAAGUCCAAAGUGAAAAUGUUUAUCAAGCAUUGCAGGAGUAUAACAAACAUUUCUUGCCGUUUCUUUAAAAUCUUCCCCAAUUAGACGACGUCGUUUUCAGGCUCCAUCUCUUCCUCAAGCAACACGAUUUUCAAACUCUCUCUCUCUCUCUCUCUCUCUCUCUUCAUAUCACUAAGUGGUCAAUUUUUAAAAAUUGAUGAAUCUAAAUGUUCACUUCUAAUAACUUAUGGCACUGAAAAGAUCAUUCAUGAAAUCACUAGAAAUUGUGCUAUCCUUUAAUCAAUUGUUCAAGAGACAUUGUUUGCCUUCUCAAGUGCUGACUUCAACUUGCCAACACGCCACGUCAGAUGUGUAUAAUAAAUUAAUGCCACGUCAAUUUUUUUGGUGAGGCAAAUCGUUGAUGACAUUUAAGUAAUUGAUUUUUCAAAUUUAUGGCACUGAAGUGAAUGAAAAAAAAAUUAUGGCCCUCAAGUGGUUGCCAUACAAAAAUUAUGCUACUCUUACUGUAUUUAUUUUUAUAAAUAAGCAUCUUCACAAUACUCCUUUCUAUUGUUUUCUUUUUCUCCUUUUUUCUUUCUAACUCUCUUGCAAAUUGCAUGCAUUGUAUAUUUUUAUAAGCUUUAUCAACUUCAUCCUCAUUAGCAAACAUUUUGACAAUUCUAAAUUCAAAUUUCUCAUUAAUAUUAUGCACGAUAAUAUUAUCCUUUGAAGUCUUUACAAUUUUAAGGAAAAAAUCUAAUCAUAUAAAGAAGAAAUACGAGAUAAAUACAAAUUUAAACGUAGUCAUACUCAUUUCUCUUGAGAACAUGGUGAGUUUUGCUGGAAGUAAAUUUUAAAGACAAGUUUUGGUGUCCACCGUUAGUGGGUUUCUCUCAAUUACAAGUACCCAUAAGCAAAUAAUAACUAAAAUUAUAAACAAAAUCAUAAUAAGUAUCAAUAUCAUUUGAAAACCCCCCAGUUCUUCCUUCAUUGCUAUAUAUAACUAAAAUUUGAUGUCAACGAUGUCCAUUUCUUUCUUGCAGUCAAAGAAGCAAAGACUAAGAAACCUUAUUCGAUUGUUAUGUCGGGAACAAAAUCCUAAAGCAAUUGGGAGUUCAAAGUAUAUUAGAUAUUGAAAUUCCUUAUUUUUGAGGUAUUUAGUUUCUUUUAAUUUGAUAACAAAUCCCAAUAUCUUUUCUUUGGUCUAAGAAUAAUAUUCACUAUUUUAAAAGUUGCAAUUUGAAACUUUUGAGUAUGGUUAAAUCUUUUCUUUGGUGAAAAAAGAAUCCACCAAAACUAUUGAAUUAAUAUGCAUUAGAUAUUCACCUUAAAUAUUUUCUUUAAUCGAUCAAGUGAGUUUUCCAUUCCUUUUGUGUGAGGAUGCCAUUAUGUACUUAUUUCCCGGACAUUUGGAGUGACAAAACUUGGCAUGGAGGGACACUUAGAGGCUAUUUGUUUAAAUCUGUUUCUAUUCUCCGGAACAAAAUUUUUUGUUCUUUUGUUCCGAGAAACAAAAAAAGAACAGAAACAUAUUUGUUUACACUUUUGGUUCUGGGAACAAAAAAAAAAAUUUUGUUCUCAGGAACAGAUUUGGAACAGAAACAAGAAGUAGAAAAAACUUAUUUCUUGUUCCCAGGAACACUUCCAAGAAAGACUUUUUUUUUUCUCAUUCUUCUUCUUCUUCUUUUUUCUGCGCGAGGCUCGACCUCGCCUAGGCUGGGCGAGGCCGAGCUCACCCAACCCUCAGCGAGGCUUGGCCUUGCCGGGCCACCUCCAAGACGGCCCCGCCUAGUGGUGGCCUGGCGAGGCUCGCCUGGCCAGCGGCGAUCUCGCCAGACCAUCGGCGAGGCUCACCUGGCCAGUGGUGAUCUCGCCAGGCCAUUGGCAAGGCUGGUCUCCGGCGAGCUCACCAAACGUCGCCCUGCCGGUCGCCAGCCAUGGUGGUGGCCGGCGACCAACCAAAGAGAAAAAGAAAAAAAGAAAAAGAAAAAAGAAAAAAUAUAAUAAAAUAUUUACAACUUAAAAGAAAUUAAAAAAAUUAUACAAGUUUCUCAAACGCGUUUCUAUUCCUUAAGUAAUUUUUUUUUUUUUGCAGUUACCAAGCGCAUUCUUAUACUCAGAAAUUGUUUCCUGGAACAGAAACAAUAAAAACUAUUUCUAUUCAACAAUUGUUUCCCGGAACAUAAAUGUUACCAAACGGUUCGGAACAGAAAUCCAUUUGGUAAUACAAUUUCAUUUUCUAUUUCUAGAACAUAUUUCUAUUCCAGAAAUAGAUUUAAGAAAAAAUCAAAAGUUAAAUUUUUUAGAUUUUCUAUUUCUAAAACAGAAAUAAGAAAUCAAAAUUUUUCUCAUCGUUCACUCUCGUCACCACUAGUUGCCCACUUGCCGCCCGUGGGAUGCCAGACACCCGCCGCCAGUUACUGGCCACCCACCACCAACCUUGGCCACUAGCCGCCACUGGCCAUGGCCACUAGUUGCUGACUACCGGCCAUCGAACGUCGGCCGCUAGCCACUGCACUUCGGCCACCCAUUGCCAAUCGCCAAUCGUCAAAUGCCGGACGCCCACCGGUUGUUGGCCGCUCAUCGCCAAUCAUUGGAUGUCAGAGACUCACCACCAACCACCGAAUGUUUGUCAGUGACUGUUCGCCGCUCGCCAUCGGCUGCCGGAUGUCGGCUGCACGCCACCCACUACCAGACUCCAGCCAUUGGCCACUCGUCACCGGCUUUUUGUUGCCGAACUCCAGAUGUCGGACGUCAGAUGUCGAACUCUGAACGUUGGACGCCAGUUGCCAGUCGUUGGACUCUGGUGUCAGACUCCAGACUUUGGCCGCGUGCCGCCGGUUAGGGGUGAGCGGUUCCCGGUUCCGGUUCGGUUCCGUCUGGAACCUGGAACCUACCCUCGGGUACAGGUUCCUCAAUUUUUGGAACCUGGAACCUACUCGUUAGAACCGAGAACCUGGAACCUACCCUGUCACAGGUUCCAGGGUCGGUUCCAGGUUCCAACAGGUUCUUUUUUUUUUUAAUUUCAUUUUCGUAGUUGACGCGAAUAUUCGGAAGCCGAAAUAAUUCAAUAGUUGGCCCUCCAUUUUCAAUACCUGCCAAAACACAGCAAUAUAAAUCUUUUACUUACAUCCGAACAGACAACUAAAUUCAUAGUUUUCUAGAGAAAACAUUGUCUAAUGUAUAAUUUGGCCAUGUUUCAUAAUAAUAACUACAGGCAUGUUGUAUGAGCAUAGGCUUGGCAUUUCGCUCUUGAUUUGAGUGGGCAAGAAGUGGGUGCCAUGUCGAGCAGAAACUUGUGUUGGCAGUCGCUGGAGCAUCGAAAACAAUACAAUAGCUGAACAGAAUUGAAAAAAGAAAGAAAGAAAUGAAAUAAUAGAUUCGAUCAGAAGAAAGUAAAAGGAAGCUGCUCAGGAAAAUCCAGAGACGACCAAGGCUGCUCAGGAAAAUCCAGAGACGACCAAGGCUUGCAACAAUGGCGCUAAGUUUUUGUGCCCAUUUUUGUUGGAGGGCCCACCUUGAGAAGAGGAAAGUCUUCACAUCGUUCUGGCGAGAUUUAGGCGAUCCGAUGUGUAAAAAGGAAACGGCAACGUUGAAGAAGACAUCCAGACAGAGUCUUGCAAAAGCCACAAAAUCUAUAUGGAUACGAUAUCAUAUUGUCUAUCUACUCACAAGCUUAACCUUGAUUACCUUCUCUUUCUGGUAAUCGGAGAAGAAGCUCAACGAGCUCGUCUCUAAGAACCGGUCGUCGGAGAAGAAGCUCAACGAGCUCGUCUCUAAGAACCGGUCGUCGGAGAGGAAGCUCAAUGCGAGCAGCGUCUUGCCCCUGUUCGACGGCUUCAAGCUCGCGUCGUUGAGCCCGACCCACUUUGCCCAAGCCCUCCACUACGCCUUAUGAUCCGUGAGGCACUUCGCGAAAGCCAUGGCUCGCGAGAUGGAGGUGGCGAACUGGAACCUCGACGAGGCCAUCCCAUUCAUCAAGCCGCAAGCGAGGUUUGCGAAGCCCGGCCACCGGCACUUCGCCAUCGAAUCGUUCGAGGCCAGAUCGAUCUUCGAGGGCUUCAACUUCCCCGACGGAGGAAGAGCUCGGUUCUGGCGGAGGCGGUGGCGGUGGCGGUUUGGAGCAACGACGGCCUGGACGGCCGAGCGAGCGGCGGUGGCAAGAGGUGGUGACGGUGGCUUGGGGACGGCGGCGGUGGCUCACGGCGGCGAGGGGCGGCGCGGACGGCGCGACAGCUCAUCGGGCUCAACGGCGAGACGGCUUGUCGGACGAGCGGUGGGUGGUGGUGGUUCGGUGGCCAAGAGGUGGUGGUGAGUAGGGCGUGGGGCGGCGGUGUGGUGGUGGGUGAAGUAGUAGCCAGCAAGAGGAGGAGGAAGAAGAAGAAGAAGAAGAAGAAGAAGAAGAAGAAGAAGAAGAAGAAGAAGAAGAAGAAGGGGUAGGGUUUCGGCCGAGAGAGGGGGAAAGAGAAGAGAGAGAGAAGAAAAGAAAAAAGUUGGGGGGGGGGCAGGAAGUGACGUGACGAGGGAAAAUGGGAGAAAAGAAAGAGAGAGAGAGAAAAGAAAGGGAAAGGGGGGGAAGAAUCUGCAGACGGGGGGAAAUUCUUGCGGGGGCAACGUUAGGGUUUUAUUUUUUUGAAUUAUGACCGGGUCCGGGUCCGGGUCCCGGGUCCCUUUUUCUGGGAACCCAAACCCAAACCCGGAACGCCCGGUCCCCGGAAAAGGGAACCGGGAACCGGGACCGGUCUCUUUAGAACCCGGGACCGAAACGGACCCUCCUCCGGUUCGGGUCCCGGUUCCCGGUUACCCGGGAACCGUGCUCACCCCUACCGCCGGUCACCGAACUUAGCGCCAAAUGCUGAACGUCGGUUUUUGAACUUCGGCCGCUCACCACCGAUCACCGGAUGCCGAACGUUGGUUGCCGAAUGUCAAACUUCGACCACCGAACGCCGGUUGUUACCGCUCCUUGAAAUAGAAAUUUUAUUCUGUUAUCAAACGAAUUUUUAUUUCAAAAAUAGAAAUUUUGAAUUAUUAUUAAACGCGUUUCUUUACUCAGAAACUCAUCUUUGGAAUAGAAAUUGAUUUCUAUUCCAUAAAUUUUGUCAUGCGCAUCCUAAGUAUCUUCUCGUGCUAACUUUUGACACUUCGGGUGUACUUUUACCCUCAUUCUCCAAAAUUUGUCGUAUAAAAAGGUUAGAAGUUCAUAAUUCAAAGACUUCCCAUAGAAUUCUUAUUCAAGCCAGUUUCUUUCACUUCUUCAAAUCAAAAUAUACAACAAACUCAAUCUACCACUAAAACCAAUCAUCAACAACUACAAAAUUUAUGCCCAAAAAAAUGCAUCCGCAAAAAGAGAGCUAAAGGAUUAGAACCUAUUGUAAUGGUAGACCAACAAGGAGCAAGUGGUCAAUCAACGUGGAUUUGCUCAUUCGGAGCGAGAUUGCCGGGUCGAGUGGUGAUCUUCCUGAAAAUGGAGGCCUUCAAAGUGGCCGUUUUCAAAGUGAAGGUCAAGCGGCAAUCUUUACGAAAAUGGAGGUCUCCAAAGCAACGGUCAAGCAGCGGUUCGCGCAAAAUUGGAAGUCUUUGAAGCGGCGAUUGAGCAAAGGUACCAGUGAAAAUUGAGGUCUUUGAAGUGGCGGUUGCGUGAUGCCCCCAGCGCGUAACGACUAACAUAGUUAUCCAAUUCUUUUCACUUUUUAAGCAUGUAGAAGCUAAUAAUAAUCACUGCAAACAUAGGAAACUUAAAGAACGCACGCGAAAUAUAAGCCAGGCUAACACAUUUCAUUCUUUAUUUAUUUACGUUAGACAACAUGGUUGGUACACUGGGAUUUCAACAAAAACUCGGCCAUCUUGAACUAUAUUAGCACACACGCAUAGUACUAUCUCAACCCUGAGAUUGCUCGUACAUGUCUAGUCACCUAUCUUCCAAUGCUAGCACGUCCAAAAGUUGUCGCCUGGAUCCAAAAAUGCGGCUUCCCCUUCCUAUUCCUGCCUUAGUCGACCGUACUAUUUCCAUUGUCAUCUCCAUCAUCACCUAGUGUGGGAUCGGCCCCACAAGCUGUCCACCUACCUACGCAUAAACCGCAAGGAAACCUAGAAGUAUGAGGCUCAUCAAGACCCUUAUGUCUACGAACAAAAUGGCGAAGCAUUAGAUUAAGGUAAUAUCCAAAAAAUCCGAAUCCAUGAAAUUGGAAAAGUGUCAAGUGAGGUCCACAAGUACUCCAUAACUAAUGGAGGUAGAAGAAAGAAGGAUCAUCAUAAUUUUUAUUAGGCUGGAAAAGUAAAAUCAAUAACUAGUGAGCCUAAAUCUAGCAAGCAGAAGGUCCACCGAUCUAAACUACAUAAAUCAAUCACUGUACUAACAAGGAAAACCUCAAUAUAAAGUAUAUCAAAUCAUUUUUAAAUCAAUUUGCUUAAGAACCUUUUCCAAAAGUAACAUAACAUGUCAAUAAAAGAGUAUUUUCCCAAGCAAGAAAUCAAUAGCUCAAUUAGAAUUCCAAAUAUUAAGGUUAUGUUCAAUAUGAAUUGAUGCUACCAUUAUCAUCUAGGGAAUCUCGUUACCCACCGGCAUCUCGCACCCCCCUAGCAUCGCAAAGGCAUCUAGGAGAAUUGUAUUACACCUCUAAGCAUUUGAAGGAACCCAGUUACCCCUCCAAACUUCCCUAUUACCACUCGGGGCAUCGUUGCCGUAAGGACCAAUGGCAUUUCUAGUCACACAUCCACACCAUAAUGCAGCAAUUCCAUAAUUCAAUUUAAAAGGCCAUUAAUGUUACUACUACCAAGGAACUCAAGAGUGAAUCUAACGAAUCCUCAAUCAUUUUGAUUCCCCUAGACUAAUCUAAACUCACCCGUGCCUAUGUUAGAUGAAUUGCCAUAAGGAUUCUAUAUCAAAGUCCCUAAAUUAGCUUUAGAAGGGCGUCCAAAACACCUUUAGAAAUUGCAGUUAUUUUCUAGGUAAACAGGUUUAAAAAAUUAUGAAACUUUAACAUAAGAUAGAAAAAAUCCAAAGGAACAUUUGACAUGAAGGAAUUUAGGUCUAAUUCCGUCUAUACAACUCUACAUGAUUUUUUGAAGACUGAUGGAAACCAUAGGAUAUUCUGGUAGUUAACAAAACCAAAAAGAAUAGUGUGUCGCCAAGCAAACGACUUAGAAAAUUCUGGAAAUUUUAUGUGUUGUAGUUUAUGAUGUAUUCUACAGUUUUCAUGAAAGACGCUUGUUAAAAUUCUUGACUGAAAAUUCUGUGGAAAUUGGAAACUAGAGAAAGGUCGAUUAGGUAAUAGUAAAAUCAGAUUGCAUACUCAAUAAUUUUUCAAAUAUAUUUCUGUCAUACAGAGUCUGGAAAAUCCAAAUUUAAAGUAUGUUUUAGAACAGCCAAUGAAGGACAACUUUCGUGAGGAUGCCCCAUGGAAUUCACAUCAUACAAGUCAGUACAAAAUUAGCAAAAUUGGCGGUCUUGUCAGAACCGACCUGACUUAGACGCCUUCAUUGAUUUAGCUCAGGUUUUUGCCAUUUCCAGCCCUAGCAUACACUAUACGUCAACAUACCAUACUCCUAUGAUCCAACCACGAACUACCGUUAUGAACUCAACAUUUUAGCUAGGUAACUUGGUCGAAACUUCCAAUUAGACAGUAAUCUAAACAACAUUUAUGGAAAUUUCUAAGGAAACCAUCCUUGCUAAACAUAAUUGAUUGACAUAGGAUAAAAAGGAGUAUAUCCAUUUGCCUUGGGUCCUUCAAGCUGCGUCCGUGGCUCAGCGGAACAACAGCAUGGAUGAUAAUGGCGAUGGCUUGGCUGAGGUGUCCCCGGCAACCGACUUGGAAGGCUGCGAUCUCUUACGCCUUCUGUGGGUGAUGGUUGAAGAGAAGAAUGGUUGUUUGCUCAUUGGCUUUUGUGUUCGUGGCAGCAGCACACUGAAGUGAGACUGAAGGAAAUCGAGUAAAGUUUAGGUGGUGUAGGCGAGGGUGGAGGAAAGAUGGGGUUUAAUUUUUCCUUGUUCACUCGGCCUCCAUGUUUUUACCGCUGUUGAGGUGUCAGAUGUGGGAGAGAACACUAGGAGAUGGAGAGAGGGAAGAGUGCAGCGGUUGAAUUUGAGCUGCAGUGGUGCAGUUGAAAAUUUUCUCCUUCCCUUGUGUUGUUGCGGCGCCCGCAGGUGAGGACACGUGCCGCUUGACUGGUCUUCGUUGUUGACUCCAACGGUGAUAUGGCGAGGUCGUUGGAUGGUGUUGCGGUGCGAAGGGAGAACGAGGAAGGCGCUGGUCUUUCGUUCCUCUGCCGCCUCUGGUCGGCGUGCCACGAGGAGGGGAUUGAUGAGUUGCUGACCAGUGGGGUUGAGGCGGUGGUGGUUGUCGCAGCGGCAGUCCGGUGGUGACACGGUGUCGAGUUGGCGUCGCCGUGAAAUGAUAUUGUUGUCAUUAAGACUUAGGAAGCUUGAUAAUGACGGGAACGAACGGGAUUACAAGUCUUCGUGGUGGUGUAAUUGGUGCAGUUUGAUAACGAGUUUAAUGGCAUAGCAUGGACCAAUAAGCGUUUGAGACUUGCAAUACGUCAAGUGAAAAUCUGGAUGUCACUAGUUGAUUGGCGGUCUAUGUAAAAAUAAAAGUUUAGGCAAUCGAGCACAAGUCCUCGUGAAAGUGGAGGUCUUUGAAGCGGAAGUCUUCUAGACGGGAGCGGCGGUCUUAUAAAUCAAUGAUUGAGCAGCAGUCUUCCUGGAAGUGGAGGUCUUUGAAGCAGCGGUCCUCGCGAAAAUAGAGGUAUUAAAAGCUAUAGCCUUCGCGAAAAUGAAGAUCUUCGAUUCCAAGCGAAAACAGAGUAGUCAAGCUUAUGUUUCUCUAGUGGAGUGCAUCUUGAAGGACAAACUGUCUCUGAAAGGAAAAGCAAAAGAGGGUUGAAGAGGAGAAAAUAUGGGCGGGCAUUUGAAAUUUAUUUGUAACAAGCUGCUAUUUGCAUUUGUGGCUACCAGCUAACUUUUCAGAUGGUUUUAAGUACUUGUAAAACGCUCCCCAUGUGUCAAUCUACAAGUAGAUAAAUGUGCACCAUAUCGAUUGCUCGUACUACGCUUUAUGCUAUUGAAUAUUUUCUCAUUAGGCAUGACAAAAGUUAGUUUCUGUGAUUUUCCUUGUCAAGAAAAAGAAGAUGAAGAUGCGAAGAAACAAUUUUCUCCUUUUCAUUAAUUGAUUAUGUACAUGUAAUUCUGUAUUUAAUUACAAUGAAGAAAAAUAAUAAAGGAAAUUCUAUAUUUGCCUAUCUUCUUCUAUCCUAAAGUAUAUUUGAUUUCCUAUCAAAAGAGAUUACAAAAUCAUAUCUUCCAACACUCCCCCUCAAGCUGGUGGUCUGUAUAUGUCCAAGACACCUAGCUUGUGUAGAAGAUAUGUAUGUUGUCUUUGACAAAGAGGUUUAGUGAAUAUAUCAACAGGCUGUUCCGAAGUCCUUAUUCCUCCUGUCUCGACAAUUCCUUCUUGAAUCUUUUCCCAAGUGAAAUGACAAUCAACUUCUAUAUGCUUCGUCCUCUCAUGGAGUACAGGAUUUGCUGCAAGCUUGAGUGCCGAAUCAUUAUCACAGAAGAGUAAAGUUGGCCCUUUAACAGGAGCUCCAAGAUCCAGAAGUAGACCCCUUAACUAGACUAUUUCACAUACGGUCUUGGCCAUAGACCGGUAUUCAGCUUCAGCCCAUGAUAAAGAUACAGUAGACUGUUUCUUUGUCUUCCAUGAGAGUAAUGAUUCCCCAAAUUUAAUGCAGAAACCAGUAAUAGACCUUCUACUCAUAGGGCAUGUGGCAUAAUCUGCAUUGCAAUAAGCUGUCAUUUCCAUGUUACACUUUCGGGAAAGAAGAAUUCCCAAACCUGGACAAGUCUUCAAGUAUCUCACAAUCUUCAGUGCUGCAUUCAUGUGAAACUGUUUCGGACUGUGCAUAAACUGACUAAGAGUCUGUACUGCAUAACAAAUAUCCGGCCUAGUCAUGGUGAGAUAUAUCAAUUUCCCUACUAGUCUCUGAUAUCCUGAGGGAUCUUGCAACAGAGGAUCAUCAGAAGAAAAGGAUAUGACAGUGUCAUAGCUGACAGAGGUCAGUUUAGCAUUUUGCUCAAUAGGAAUGACUGAUGGUCUACAACCUGAUAAUCUUGCUUCUGAUAUAAUCUCCAUCACAAAUUUCUGCUGACUUAAUGAGAUGCCUUGAUCUGAGCGAGCUAUUUCAAUUCCAAGAAAAUACUUGGGCGACCCUAAGUCUUUGAUAUGAAAAGUCGAAUGCAAAUACUCUUUAAGUUUUUUAACAGCAGAAUUAUCGUUCCCCAUGAUAAGGAUAUCAUCAACAUAGAUCAUCAAGUAAAUGGAUGACAUACCUUUUGUCCAAGUGAAUAAGGCAUAGUCAUACUUGGAUUGCUUGAACCCAGCAACCAAGAGUGCACUUGUGAAUUUAGCAUACCACUGUCGGGAGGCUUGUUUCAAGCCAUAAAGAGAUUUACGGAGACGACAUACCUUUGACUCCCCCUGUCUCCAUAAUCCUGGCGGAAGCUCCAUAUAUAUUUCUUCAUCCAGAUCACCAUGUAAGAAAGCAUUAUGGACAUCCAUUUGGUGUAAUGGCCAAUCAUGAAGAGCAACAAUAGACAAAAAAGUACGAACCGUGACAUCCUUUGCUACAGGAGAAAAAGUUUCGUGAUAAUCAAAACAUUCUCGCUGUGUGAAGCCUUUUGCCACCAACCGUGCUUUGUAUCUUUCUACAGAACCAUCUGCUCUAUAUUUUAUUUUAUAUACCCAUUUACAUCCAAUAGGUUUGCGAUGAGCAGGAAUGGAGACAACAUCCCAAGUGUGGUUUUCCAUCAAUGCAUGCAAUUCAGAUUCCAUGGCCUUUUGCCAACGAGGAUCAUCUUUGGCUUCAUUAUAACUAGAAGGUUCUUGACCUUCGGAAAUAUGACUUAUGCAACAUAGAUGGUCUGCCGACAAUCUAUCAAAGGAGACAUAAGAAGAGAUGGGGUAUCGAGUACCUGAUGAAUGUGAAGAACCACAUAUAUAAUCCUUCGUCCAAGUUGGUGGUCGAGUGAUUCGAUGAGAACGCCUCUGUGGCUCCUCUGAUGUGGUGGAUACUUCUUCAGUAGUGGUUGCUUCUGAAGUAUCCUCCAAUUGUGCUGAUUCUUCAUGCAUCGAUUCUUCUAUAUAUGGCUGCUCAAUGAAAUUUUCAGCAGGACUUGCAAGAGGUGUUGUAGGCAAGACAUCAACUUCUCUUGGAGCAGGAGGAAUAAUAAAUGUUCCUCCAGUUGAUGAAUCUUCCUCCAAUAAGAAUUGGCGAUUUGUCUUCUCUUCUUCAGGUAAAGAUGUUAAUGAAAAAGGAAAAACAUCUUCAUGAAAAACAACAUCCCUGCUGAUAAAGAAAUUUCCUGUAGAGGGUGCAUAAAGCCUAUAUCCCUUUUGCAAAGUUGGAUAGCCCAUAAAAAUGCAUUGAGUAGCUCGUGGCGCCAUUUUAUCUCUAUGGCCCACCGUAGUGACAUAGCACAGACACCCAAAAACUCUGAGAUGAGAUAAGUCCGGCUUUCUCCCAUAUAAUAAUUCAAAAGGUGUCUUUCCUUUUAAGAUGCGUGAUGGCAUACGAUUGAUGAGGUAUGCUGCAGUAAUUACACAAUCUCCCCAAAACUUUUCGGGAAUAGAGGCUUGAAAUUUAAGUGCACAUGCCACUUCUAAAAGAUGGCGAUGUUUUCUUUCUACAACUCCAUUCUGCUGGGGUGUGUAAACACAGGAGCUCUCAUGUAAUAUCCCAUUUUUAGUGAACAAGGAACUACAUUCAAUAUUAAAAAAUUCUUUUCCAUUAUCAGUACGUAUCCUACGGAUUGGUUUUUGAAAUUGAGUCUUGGAUAAGGAAAGAAAUGUCUUUAAAUGAGAAAAGACCUGGUUUUUUUAUUACAUGAGGAAAAUCCAUGUGGCACAAGAGUAGUCAUCCACAAUUGUGAGAAAGAACCUGGAGCCAUCAUGAUUUAAAGUAUGAUAGGGCCCCCAAACAUCAGCAUGAAUAAGAGAAAAAAUUUCUGCUGAUCGAGAAGUGCUAUUAUGGAAAGGAGUACGUGUUUGCUUAGCCAUGGGACAAAUGGGACAUUUAGGAUAAGGAAAUAAUGCACUAUGGCCCAAACGUUUAUGAUUCAAUAAAUGAAUGCCAUUGGCAGUAGCAUUACACAGAGAUUUAUUGAAUGCAACAGGAGAUAAAUUAAAAAGAUGUGGAAAAUCCAAGCAAAAAUAUAAUCCAUGGCUGACUCUACCCAAGCCCAUCAGUGUCCCAGUCGAACGGGCCUAAAAGAAACAUUUAUCAUAAUGGAAAAGAAUGUGGCAUGAAUUUUCUUCAUAGGCUCGGGCAACUGAUAUUAGAUUGAAAUGGAAAUCGGGAACGUAAAGUACGCUUUUAAUAGUAAUAAGAGAACUAAGCUUUACAGUCCCAGUCAUUGUAACUUUGGUGGUAUUUCCAUUUGGAAGUUGUACUGAUAUAGGAAAAGAUAAUUUUGUAAUAUCUGAAAGUAAAUUCCUAUCACAGACUAUGUGAUCACUAGCACCUGAAUCAAUAAUCCAUGCAUCCUUUGAAAUUGAGUUCAUCAAACAAAAUGAUGUACCUGUGAAGCUGCCCCCUUUAUUUGAGGGAUCUAAUUUCUUCAAAGUUUCCAUUAGCUCAUGAUAUUUUUUUGGGUAAUUGAUUUUCCCAUUUGCUGACUGGACACCUGAAAAACAGAGGAAAAUUUCCCUUUUUCUUUUUCUCCUGGCUUUCCAUGCAACUUCCAGCAAUUCUCAAUUGUAUGAUGCAGGCGUUUGCAAUAAUCACAGUACAUCUUACCUAUUCCUUUUGGCCCAUUUUUGGCAUUUGAAUUGGGCCUAAAAUUGGUCUGAAAAGAUUGGGCCGAAAUAGGCCCAUAUGGGCCAUCGGAUCCUCCAGGAAAUGGGCCGCGCGAGCUAUCCAACCCAUUGGUGCCAGGCGAUCGCAGACCGUCCGAUCCAAUCAAGUAGCUGCUUCGAGAGCCGUCGGAUGGGCUUAAAAGAACAGAAUGUGAGCCGUCCAAUUGCGUCGCCCCCUGGAACGAUCGUGAGCCGUUCGUUUGAUAGCGGAAAUAAUCUCCACCGUCCGUGCUCCUCUUAAAAGGCGUCGAUCUAGGGUUUUCGUUUUCGAACCCUAGAUCCGCCUCUCUCCUCCCCGAGCUUCUCUGUGACGAGCGGAAAUGGCUCUUCGUGGCCAGAGCAAUUCCGUCUCCUCCUAUGCCGUGGUCUCCUGAUCUUUGUUGGCUCUCCUCCUGUAUGGCGAGUUGAUAGAUCUGGCCGAGACUUGGCAAAGGCUCCAUGGUAAGUAUGUGGGAUCGAAAUGGCUGGUAAGCCUCGUUGAGGAUGAGGAGGAAUCGCGUUGCUUUCUCCCUUUCUCGCAUCUGCUUGUAUUGUUGUUGGAUAUUCUCGGGCCAGUCAAAUUUUUCCUCGGCUGCCUCCAACUCAUUCCACAGAUCGGAAAGUUUGUUGUAUACUGUUGCGAUGCUCAUGUUCCCCUGUUUCAGAUCUGAAAUUUGCUGUGUUAGGUAAAAAAGUUUCACUUGAUCAAGUUUUCCAUACAUCUCCUUUAUGCUUUCCCACAUCUUCUUCGGAUCCUCCAUCGGAGGAAGCCCGGCCGGGACCUCGGGUGCGAUGCAGUUUCCAAUCUAGGUUCUUACCAGUUGGCUGCAUCUCCUCGAGAUUCAUGCCAUUCUUUCGUCGGACGGAAUCGGGAACGAUCCGUCAAUAAAACCUUCUUUGUAUUUUGUGAUAAGUGCCCGCCGGAAUUCGCGUGACCAAAUUGAAUAAUUUUCUACACCUGUUAAUUGCUGACUUAUAAUCUUUAAUUCUGGGCCGUCGCCGUUUGUUGUGUACAGUGGAUCGCCGAGUUCCGGCCGACCACUGGUGUUAAGGAACUGAUACGGGAAGAAUCCCGGUGCAGGAGUCGGAAAGGGAUUUGUUCCCUGACUCGAACUCCCGAGGCCGAAUCCGUAAUCCGCAUUUUGAAAACCCUGGUCUGGUAUAGGUGCUCCGCCCGUCUGCUCCGGGUUGAAGCUAGGGUUUGCCCCGUCACUGGUUGGUGGACCAGCUUCAGCCCGCGCGCUGCUGUGGUAGCCAGGCAAUGAUGCGUUGGGGAUAGGCCUAGGACACCAUGGAUACGACAUCCAUUGGUAAGGGUGACUUGCGAACGGUUGCCCUGCAAUUGCCUGAGCCUGUUGUUGCCAUGGCACAUGCGGAGGUUGGCCCUGGAUUUGUUGUUGUCGUUCUGAUGCAGGGACUAUAGUAGUUGGAUCUCGGUAUUCCAAGGCUCGUGUUGAGGCAUCGGAUGCAGAUUCUUCGACGGGAUUGGAGGUGAGAUCUUGUGGUGUUGACAUGAUGAAAAUUGAUUCCUCUGUUAUGUCCUUAAUGCAGAUACAGUUCCUUUAGGCAAUCAAGUAUUUCUGAUUCCUUUGGCAAUGCUGUUCUGAAAUUCAAGGUUGGUGUAUGAGGCAAUCAGGAGCGGAAGCAAAUCAGUUCAGAACCAGGAUGGCUCUGAUACCAUGUCAAAAAAAGAAGAUGAAGAUGCGAAGAAACAAUUUUCUCCUUUUCAUUAAUUGAUUUUGUACAUGUAAUUCUGUAUUUAAUUACAAUGAAGAAAAAUAAUAAAGGAAAUUCUAUAUUUGCCUAUCUUCUUCUAUCCUAAAGUAUAUUUGAUUUCCUAUCAAAAGAGAUUACAAAAUCAUAUCUUCCAACAUUCCUGUGCAAAAAUAUGAACUUCUACUGCUGUGAACAUGUAACUUUUAUAUUUGAUUGGGAAAAUUGUCCAACAAGUUAUAAACCUAUUACACUUUUGUCAAUUUAAUCCUAAAUCUUUCAAUUUUGCUAAGUGAGUCAUAAAUCUUUUUAUUUUUUACUAAUUGAUUCCAUCCGGCCAAUUUUGGCCAAAACUCACUGACAUGGAUGUCGGUUGUCUUACUUGGCAUGGUCGACAAUGAUAUGAACAAAAUUUAUUAGUUUUAGUAUUUUUUUAGAAUUUUUAGAAUUUUUCUUUUCUUUUCUUUUUCCCUCCCUCUCUCUCUUCUUUCUCUCUGCCGAUUGACGUGCCCACCGACAGAGAGAAAGGAGAGAGAGGGGGGAAGACAAGAAAAAAAUUGUAAAAAUUUAAAAAAUUCGAAAAAAUAUUUGACAAUGAUAAAUUUUGUCCACGUUAGCAUCGAUAAUGCCAUGUAGGACGGUCAACGUCCACGUUAGCGAAUUCCAACCAAAAUUGGUUAGACGGACUCAAUUGGCCAAAAGUGAAAAUGUUUAGAACUCAAUUAGAAAAAUUGAAAGUUUUAAAAUUAAAUUGGUAAAAAUGUAAUAGAUUUAGGAUUUUUUGGACAAUUUUUCCACAUCUGAUCCAUGUGAACCCUAACACACAACAAAUUUAAGAAUACCCCGCAAGUCUUAUGCUUAAGUGUCAUUUGCACUUGACGGGCACAUUUGAUGGUAGACUACCAUGUUUACCUAUUGUUGGAUGAUGGACAAAUGUGCUGAUCCUUUUAUAGGAGACAUGAAAUACUGAAGAUCUAGCCACGGGACAUAAAACUUUUGGGUGCAUUUACCUGUGAGUUUGAAACUCGCACUGUGGGGCUUGCCUCGUGCAUCACAUUCAAAUAUUCACAUGUUUCUCUAGGAGUAGGAGCAUUACAUCUCGCUCAAACAACUAUUGUCUUAGUGGAAUUCACUAGACACGCCUCAUCCUUUCUUUUAGCUCUAUGUUUUAUAGUUUGAAUCUGGUAAUAGGAUACUACUUUUGAAUUUGGGAUAAUUGACACAAAUGAUUUAUGAAUUUUAGCUCAAUGUAUAAUAUGGUCCCUGAAUUUUUAAUUUGUUCAAUGUGACCCAUGUAUUUUUCAUACAUAUUCCAUCGAUUCAAAUUUUAUGAUAAUAUUAAACAUUUUCAUAUAAUACAUUAACUAAAUUCAACAUGUAUAAAAAAUCUAAUGACUUCAUUGAACAAAUUAGGGGUGAGUAUUGGUUUAGGGUCAACUCUGAAUCGGCUAAACCCUGUUGAUCUUGGUCCGGUUGUCAGGGAGAUUAGGUCAGUCCUUGGUCCUAGGAUUCCUGGACCAACACUAAGUGAGUUGGUCCUUGGUCUUAGGAGUUUAGAGUCAGUUUAAUUCAGACCAACUCUAACUCUAUAUAUAUAUAUAAAUAUUAUAUUUAAUAUAUUAUUUAUAAUUGUUUAUAUAGAGAAAAUUCUAAAAUAAACGACGUUAAUAACAUUAAAUAGCUCUUUAAUAAAGAGUUCAAGUAAUUUUUUACUGUUCUUUAAUAGCUUAGAUUUUAAUGUUUUUUACAACGUCAACACUUAAUAGCCAUAUUUUACAAAGGAGGAAUAUGUUUUUGUGAGAAGUCCUCACAGCGUCUAAAAUGGCAUAAACAGUUAGUUCCUCAUAGCAUCCUUCUUUAGUACUCGUUCUCCUUGCUCGACGUUCACCCCACUCGCCGCUCACCUCUCUUAGCUGACCAAGCUCGUCACCGAACUCAUUGGGUUGGUCCAGUCAUCGGUUGUUUUUUUCAAGGAAUACAAAAAAUGAAAUAAAAAAUUAUUGAUUGGUCCCGAAUUGACCCUGGAAUUGGACUGAACCCAUUGGGUCAAUUCGAUCGUCGAUCACCUUUUCAAGGAGUACAAAUAAUGAAAUAAAACCCACCCCGCGGUGGACGUGCUGGUUCGCGCCCUGCCCCCUCAUCCAAGAGGGGAGGGGUUCAAAACUCCAUGCCCCCAUUGCACGACUAAAGUGGAGUGCCGUGGGAGGUGGGCCCCCGAGCUAAUGCUUCCCCUGGUUUACGCCGCCGGGUGCCAGCUGUAUGGUGGUUCCAGAGUUAAAAAAAAAACAAAUAAUGAAAUAAAAAAAUAUUUGUUGGUCCCGAGUUGACUUUGGAACCGGACCGAACUCAUUGGGUCAGUUCGGUCCUUGGUCUCAAACUCAGUAGGGUGGGUCCUCAGUCCCAAAAAUUAAAGACCAACACUGUGCGAGUUGAUCCUAGGGUUAGGAGGUCCAGCCCAACUUGGACCAUGCUCACCCCUAGAACAAAUUAUAGUCCAAGGACUACAUUAUGCAUUGAGCUAUAAUUUAUGGAUCAUAUUGAACAAAUCUAACGUUUAGCGACCACAUUGCACAUUUGUCCAAAGUUUAUAGACCACUUAUGUCAUCUUCCAUUCGAAUUUCUAAGAUAACCAAGCAUGCAUAUAAGCUGUGUUGGUUAAUACUCAACGAUAUUCUUAGUCUGAUCUGAUGAAACUCGUGUAAACCAAUUCACGAGAGAUGAAGUGCUGAACAUAUUCAUGAGUUGUGUGCUUCUACUAAUCCACUUGAUUCGGUACUAGAGAUCAUCGCCUCUGAACGCCAAAACAAUAUGAACGUAUCAUACUAUCUGAUAGUUAUUAGUCAUGACUCUUAUAAGCUUAAGAAAGAAAGAAAAAAGACCAAGUUGAUCAAUAAGAAACAUUCCACCCGCAAAUUACUUAUCUAGUUAGUAAAAAUUAUCUGCAUGUAGUGAGAAAAGAGGAGUACCGAAGGAAAGGUCAGCUGGACAGGAAACAAGAAUCAGUGACAGUUGAAUGACAAAUGCUAAAAUUGUCUCUACUGAUUCUACAUUUACAUAUUUAUUCACCCCCCUAAUCCUUCGGCAUGCUUCCAGGACCAAGGGGCAUUCUUUCGAUCAGCGUCUGCAUGCAGAAGAAACAGCCCGGUUAAAAUAGUUUAGCUGCCAAUAUGACACCCUAAACAAAUAAUACUAGACAAGCUAACAGUGCAUGGCAAGCAUAUAUAUGAGAAAUAAGAAAACAGAACAUGGCAAGCAAGCGACCAUUUAGUGACAAGAAUAGUCACAUAGUGAGCGCAACAGAGAGAGAGAGAGAGAGAGAGAGAGAGAGAGAGAGAGAGAGAGAGAGAGAGAGAGAGAGGUGCAUGGGUAAAUUCUUUGUACUCAACAAGUUCAGCUGUUAAUGUCCGGAAAAAUAUGAAUUCAUAUCCCUCUCGUCUCUGCGAGUUUUCUCUCUACCUCAUGGUAGCGUCUACCCCUUUCCUUCAAGCCCUAAACCCUUAUUUACUGGUGUUCAUCCGUAAUAUUGUUCCUUUCUCAGCAUCCAAAAAAGAAAAAAACAAAAGAAAUGUCACUUCUAAGUAAUACGGUUAGAUAUCCGGGUGCCUCUGGAUCCCAUCAGCCGGGGUAAUCCUGAUCGAAAGCAUCCUUCAGUGAUCCGAGUGCCUCUGGAUUCCACCAGCCGGGAUGAUUCUGAUCGAAAGCAUCUUUCAGGUGGAGUGUUGCUCGCUGCUCUGAGUAUUGAUUUGAGUAAGAGUAUCAAAUAUAUCUAUGUUUCCGUAUAGUAUCUCUUCAGUUGUUUGUUUGGCUGACGAGAUCGGAGUGGUAGAAGUCAGGAUCUGGAUAAAGCUGAAACUGGGUAGUCUCGGGGAUGUCGAUAGCCGAGAUCUGAUCCUACUCUGAUAAGAGAUUGAAAGUUAGUGAAAAUGAAAAGUAAAGAAGAAAAUGAGAUGAGAGUGGCUGCAUUAUGCAAAAGCCUUGGGGAUCUGUGGUCUGAGGAAGACGUAGUCGAAGUGUCUGAUGAAAUACCGCAACAGAAAAGGGAGGAAUGUAGCCGUACUCUCUUCGGUAAAUUGUACUCCAAACCAAAUGUGAACUAUCCUGCUUUCAUAACUACAAUAAAAAAAGCAUGGAAAAUAGAAGGGGUUAUAUGCUCUCAGAAGGAACCAGGGCACUUCACUUUCGUAUUUCCAACGGAGGAGGAAAAACAGCGAAUAAUGAGGAACUCACCUUGAUCAUAUUCAACUAAUUUGCUCGUUCUAAAGCAGUGUCUCCUUGAAGUCCCUGAGCAUUGCUAUGAUUUCACUAAGGCAGCUUUCUGGGUGCGCAUUGGAGGAGUUCCCCUUGGUUGGAGAAUAGACAAAGUGUUCAAUGAUCUGGGGAAAAGGAUGAGAAAUGUAAUAGAAGUUCAACUUGACUCAACAACUAAUGCUCAGAACAGAGGAGGUAGAGUUAGAGUUGAGAUUGAUUUGACUUUACCUUUGAAAUCGGGAGCUAUUCUGGAUAUUGGCAAUAAUUGGCUAUGGGUGGAGUUCAAGUACGAGCGUCUCCCACAUUACUGUUUCUCUUGUAGCAGAAGUGGGCACUAUGCAACUGACUGCCUUGAAAUUCCAUAUGCAACUUCACCCUGGGCAAUGAACAAAAAAGGGUUAUAUGGACCCUGGUUGAAGGCAGAAACCAGAUCACAGCCCUUAUUGGGAUGCUUUCUACAGGAAAAUGGAGGCGGAGUUUGUAGUGGAAGAAACAGUACAUGUUCCAUCAACCCAACCGAGUGGAAUGAACUCCAUUGCUCGAGAGCCAGCAUCUGAUAUGCAAAUUGUAGCAUGCAGCAAAAAGCGAUCAGAAAGCAGCCCAGAACAGGUGAUAAGCCCAGUAAAUGUACCUAUUGUAGUAGAAGACCAAGAUCGUGGAAAACAGGUCUUAUGCCCUGAAACCCAAAACCCACUGUUAUUAAAAGUUGGGAAAAGCAGUAAGAAGACUAUGAAAGUGCAAAAGGCAAAAAAAACAGAAAUGCAUACCAGCAAUAUCCCCUCUCCUCACAGAUGAUGUAGAACUUCUGGAGACCCCGGUGAAACUGAUCCAGGAUGGACAAGAAUGGGCUUUGGUGGCUAGCCCUAAUAAGCCACCACUAAAGCCAUGAAAAUCGUUAGUUGGAAUUGUCAGGGGCUGGGCAAUCCCCUGACAAUCCAGGAAUUAAGAGCUUUAAUAGCUCUCGAAAGGCCUAACUUACUUUUUCUCAUGGAGACGAAAAAUAAAGCAACUAUGGUGGAAAAGAUUUGUAAAAAACUUCAGUUCCAUAACUUAUACUUGGUUAAUCCAACAAGAAUAGCGGGGGGAUUGGCAAUCAUGUGGCAAGAGGAAAUCGCUUUAAAGGUGUAAGCAAGUUCAAAAUAGUUCAUAGAUGUGCAGUGUACUGACCCUAAAAGUAAACAAGUUAUGUAGAUUACCUUUGUCCAUGCAUCUACUGACUUUGGAGAGCGUAUGGCAUUAUGGCAAUUGCUGGGAACUCUUAAGCCUCCAGUUUCUCUUCCCUGGAUUUGUAUGGGAGAUUUCAACGAGAUUCUGUAUGUAUGGGAGAAAGUUGGGAAAAAAGAAGCAGACAAUAGAAGAAUUGCAGCAUUCAGAAACAUGAUUAAUGAUCUAUCCCUAAUAGAUGUAGACAAUCAUGGAUGUGCAUUCACAUGGGCUAAUAACAGGGAGGGGGCAGAGUUGGUUAAAAAGCGACUCGAUAGAGUGCUUUGUACUUUAGAGUGGCGAGUUACCUUUCAUGAAGCAGAAGUCUAGGCCUUUCCAGCUAUCGGCUCAUACCACAGUCCCCUAGUCCUUCGAAUGUAUCCUGGAGUAAAGAGAAGGAAGAAACAGUUCAAAUUGGAAGCUUUUUGGACAGAACAUGCAGAUUAUUAGGUAGUUAUCCAGCAAGUAUGGGCAGAAAAAUCAACUCAAAGUUUCCCUUUUGCAGAGAAAUUAGGGAGGACAUCACAAGUAUUAACUAAGUGGAGCAAAGAGAACUCUGCGAAUGCUUAUACACAGAUCAAAGAGCUUAAUCAAGCCUUAACAGCUAUUACGAAUCAAACAGAUUAGCACACGAGUAAGCAACAAGUGUAGCAUAUCAUCAGUCAAACAGACACACUGAGAAAACAGGAAGAACAAUUAUGGGGAAUGAGGUCACGCAUCAAAUGGUUACAUUGGGGAGACCAGAACACCAGAUUUUUUCACGCUACGACAGUCAACAGGAGGUAACAAAAUCGCAUUACAAUGCUACAAUUAGAGGAUAAUAGCUAGUGCAGAGAACCCAUGAUGCUACAGAAACAUAUUCAAUCUUUCUAUGAGAAUCUAUACAGGAUUGAGGGUCCACGACACUACCAAUCUAUCCUAAACCAAUGCCCAUCCCCAAUAACAGAGAAUAUAAAUGAAGAUCUAGUGGCAGUACCUUUAUUGGAGGAGAUCCAUUCAGCUGUUUUUCAAUUGGGAGCUUUCAAGGCCCCUGGCCCUGAUGGGUUCAAUGGAAUUUUCUAUCAACAAUCAUGGAAAAUUAUAAAAACUGACCUGCUGCAGCUGGUACAGAAGUUCUUUUAGACGAGUGUUCUGGAUCCCCGGCUCAAUCAGACCCAUAUUGUGUUGAUUCCAAAAAUUAAAAGCCCUGAAAACAUCAGUUAGUAUAGACCCAUUAGUUUGUGCAACUUCAGUUAUAAAGUUAUCUCAAAAAUCUUAGCAAACAGACUAAAGAAGUGGCUGCCACUUAUCAUUGAACCAGAGUAGGGUGCUUUCGUUCCGAGGAAGCAAAUUCAGGACAAUAUCUUCAUAGUACAAGAGGUUCUGCAUCAACUACGCAUAACAAAAAAGAAGAAAAAACAUCAGGCCAUUCUGAAGCUUGAUAUGCAGAAAGCAUAUGAUAGAAUAGAAUGAGAUUUUGUGAGGGAUAUCAUGCUGCACAUGGGGUUUAAUGCUAAAUGGGUCUCCUUAAUUAUGCAAUGUAUAUCAACAGUUACCUUCAGUGUGAAAAUCAAUGGAAAACCUACCCCUUUCUUCCAUCCUUCGCGAGGCCUCAGACAAGGUGAUCCACUCUCACCCUAUAUCUUCAUUCUGAUGUCCAAUGUGUUAACCUGGAUGAUGAAAAAAGCAUUAGAAGAUGCUACAAUCAAAGGCAUUCGGAUAAACAGAUAUUGCCCUAAGCUAUCACAUUUGAUGUUUGCCGAUAAUGUGAUAUUUUUUCUGGAUGGAACUAUUACAGAGUGCCAGAAUCUUGCCCAAAUACUAAACCAAUAUUGCUAUGCUACGGGACAAGCAAUCAAUUUAAAUAAAUCAGGGGUUUAUUUCAGUGGUAAUUGUCCAGCAGUAUUAAAACAUAAUUUGGCCACAGAAUUGAGAGUUCCUGUUCUACAGAAAACAGGAAAGUACUUGGGCAUACCUACCGAGUGGGGUCAAUCCAAGAAAGAGCUGUUUGCAUGGAUCAUGGCCAGAGUAAAUUCGAGAUUAGCAGGAUGGAAAGAAAAAUUACUUACAAAGGCAGGAAAGGAAGUGUUAAUAAAAAGUGUUAUGCAAUCCCUACCUACCUAUGCAAUGUCCAUAUUCAAGCUGCCCAUGUCUAUCUGCAGAGCCAUAGAACAACGUAUUGCGUCAUUUUGGUGGCAGAAUGAUGAUGCUAAAAGAGGGUUGCAUUGGAAAAGCUGGGAAGUCUUGAAAACUUGAAAGGAUACAGGGGGACUUGGGUUUAAGGAUCUGCUUACCUUUAAUAGAGCCAUGCUAGGCAAGCAAUCCUGGAGAUUAGCUACCUCCCCUUUAGCCCUAUGGAGCAGAGUGAUGAAAGGGAUUUACUUUCCCAAUGGUGAUGUCUGGACAGCUUCAAAGGGACAUCGACCAUCAUGGGGCUGGCACAGCUUAAUGCUUGGCAGAGACACCAUAAAGAACAACAUUAAAUGGUCAGUAGGGGAUGGAAAUUCUAUUCGUAUUAGAGAAGACAGAUGGCUUUCACAAGGAGUAAUUGGCGGGCAAGCAAACCAAACAGAGCCUAUUUUAGUGUCCGAAUUGAUAAAUGCAGACCCAGAGAAUGGAAACAACAACUUAUCCAUCAACUCUAUGAAGAAACUAUUGCAAACGAGAUAUUAGCAAUCCCCAUAAGCCAGCAACCAAAGCCAGAUACGCUUAUAUGGACAGGUAACAAAACAGGGCAAUACUCUGUUAAGAGUGGAUACAACAGAGCAAUGAUAACCACAAGCAAAUCAGAUCAGAAUCGACCCUCCUGCUCUUUUCAACCACCACGUACCUUAUGGACUCAAAUAUGGAGUCUUGAUGUGCCACCAAAGGUUCGUUCUUUCCUCUGGAGCCUCUGUCAAAACGCUCUUCCUACGAGGGAAAACCUAUAUAAAAGGAAAAUAGUUAGAGAUCCACUAUGCCCAUUCUGCUAGUCUAACAUCGAAACCACAGAGCACUUUCUGUUCUUAUGUAAAUGGACAAAGAAAGUAUGGGAAGACCCACUUUUUGAAACGAUCAGACCAAACAGCAGUAUUAAACGCACAAAUCAGUGGAUUUCCAAUGCUUUCAGAAGAGAUCAGAACUCACCUAUUUGAGAGUUUACUGGUAUGGUUCUGUGGAACAUCUGGAAGGCGAGAAAUAACUGGAUUUUUCGAGCAAAAGAACCCAGACCAGCAGAUCUGCUGAUUACAGCAUAGGAGCAACAAAUCUUGUUCAGUAGAGAAAAAUCAAACAUAAGUAAAUACUCACUCAAUCGAGACAAACCUAAUUAGUGGAGGCCACCAAAAGGGCAGGAUCUGAAGCUAAAUGUGGAUGCAGCAUGGUGUUCAAGCGAAUUUCUUGGCUCUGUCGCUGGAGUCGUGCGCGAUCCGGAUGGAAGAGCUCUCGAAGGUUUCGCGGCCACGGCUAGGGUUUCUUCAGCAAGUGAAGCGGAAGUCGACGCGAUAUUACAUGGCAUCUUAUAUAUCCACGAACUUCAAUCGACUCACGUGAGGGACUUUGGAAGUCGAACUGGGAAGUGGUUGAUCGAAAGUGACUGUUCCGUGGUGGUAGAAAUGGUCAUGGGCCGGACCGAACCCUCAUGGAAUCUAAAAGAAAUAGUGCAGCAUUGCAGGAAUGGGCUAAAUCAGAACAACAAUAUUACGGUGACCCAGUGUCCACGCCAAGCUAAUGCAGCAACGGAUUGGAUCACACGGAAUCAUCGGCUUAAAACUCUCCCACGUAAUUGGCUGAUUUCUCCCCCUUUUCCUCUAUGGAAUAUUUUAUGCGCAAAUCUUUCCCCAUCUGUGUUAUGUAAGACUCCUUCUUAAUCUAGUAAUAGUCAGUUCUAUUUUGACCCCAAAAAAAAAAAGUUCAGCUGUUAAAGCCUUCACUUGCACGCAUUGACUAAUCGCGCUCUUCUCUAAGUUGCUGCAAGUCUCCCCUCCAUACCGCCUCAUUCGACAGAACCUCCUCUGCUUCAAAGCCUCAUCUUGAGAAGCCCUAGCAAAUUGCCGAAAUGGCCGACAGUGUCCCAGAUCAAUACGAAUUGAAUAUACCCAAGUUUUUUCGCUUUGUAAGCGUAACCAACAAAAAUGCAGUGCUUUCAAAUUACCUGGCUUGACAUGACCACGAGACCUCAUCAUGACAUGUGAGCACAAAUUGCCAACCCUUGUGACAACAUAAUUUAACAAGUAAAAGCAAAUAAGAAGUAGCUCACGUAGUGUUGUGCUACUUCCAAAUCGUGUCUUGAUUAAGUAAACUUUCACUUUCCACUCGGUUCGUAGUUUCGUGGAAUCAAAUUUGAAAUUGAUGAUGCAUGACUAUACUUAGAGCUUAUUCGAUAAAUUUCUUUGGUGUUGAAAAUUAAACUAUUCAAUACUUUAUUAAAUUAGUAGUCUGGUGAUGCUAAUUUAGUUAUGACUUAAGAAUGUUCACUUAUAAUCAUAAUUUAUUCUGGUGCUUGGCCAACUAAAAGCACUAGUAGAUAUAAGUUUUCUACAUCUGGUCAAUCAAAUAUUACCAUAUUGCUAGAACCUAGCAAGAUAAUCAACGAAUCCUCAUCUGGUAAGAAACUUUUGCUAUUCCCUAAUAAAUUUUCAGCCAUUUCAAAAUCAAGUACAAGCUGAAAUUGUAUAAGACUAUAUUCAAGUGGGUCAAUAGCCUAAUUUUUUUUUUCAUCAAUCCUACUUUAUUUUUAUUGUAAUUUUCACUCUUAAACUUUUGCCUUACCCCUUACAAAGUGUGAAAGUUGAAAUUCACAACCGAUGCUAAAUUGCUCCCGACCCGGAUGGUCUUAAUGGACUUUUCUACCAUCAUCAUUGGGAAGACAUUAAAUGUGACAUAUUUACGAAGGUAGAGAACUUCUUGAACACCGGCCAUCUUUCACCAACUCUGAAUAGAACAAAUAUCUCCCUUAUUCCGAAGGUUCCAAAUCCGGAGAGGUUGGAUCAGUAUCAUCCAAUUAGCUUAUGCAAUUUUGGCUAUAAGAUUAUCUCAAAAGUGCUGGCUAAUAGACUCAAAUCCUUAUUACCAACAAUUAUAGCACCUGAACAAAGUGCUUUUGUAAGAGGGAAGCAAAUUCAGGAUAACAUAUUUAUUGUCUAGGAGGUGCUGCAUCAGAUUAGAAUCAGAAGCAGAAAAAAGAAAUUCCAAGCAAUUCUUAAAUUAGACAUGAAGAAAGCCUAUGAUCGAGUGGAAUGAGAUUUCUUAGAGGCAUGCCUACUGAAAAUCGAUUUUGAUAAGAAAUUGGUGAGAUGGGUAAUGCAAUGUGUUACUACGGUCACAUUUAGCGUCAAUUUCAAUGAGAACAUCUUCAGUACUUUCAACCUUCAAGAGGACUCAGGCAAGGGGAUUGCUUAUCUCUUUAUCUCUUUAUUAUUGUGGCAAAUGUCUUGCCCUCAUUGAUGAAGCAAGCUGUGGAUAAUCGUAGUAUCACAGGAAUUAGGCUAAAUAGAAGAUGUUCUACACUUUCUCACUUACUAUUUGCAGAUGAUUUGAUCUUUUUCAUGAAAGGCACCAUUCUUGAAUCUCAAAAUCUGGCCAUAAUUCUGAAUCAAUAUUGUCUAGCUCUUGGAUAUGAGAUUAAUUUAAACAAAUCGAGAAUUUUCUUUAGUAAGGGAUGCCCUCAAUCUUUAAAAGAUAAUAUGGCAAGGGAAUUGCGGGUUCCUAUUAUUGACAAAACUGGCAAAUAUCUGGGUAUUCCUUCAGAUUGGGGAGGGUCGAAAAAAACAAAUGUUUGCAUGGGUUCUCAGGAGAAUCAACUCAAAAUUGGAAAGUUGGAAGGAAAAGCUCCCUCUAAAGCAGGAAAAGAAGUCUUACUGAAAACGGUGGUUCAAGCAUUACCACAAUAUGCAAUGUUAGUUUUUAAAAUCCCGAUUUCUAUUUGCAAGGUUAUUGAAUAGAAAAUUGUUUCAUUUUGGUGGAAGACUAAUGAAAAGAAAGCAGGCAUUCAUUGGAAGAGCUGGAAUACCUUGAAGACCAGAAAAGAUAAAGGUAGAAUGGGUUUCAGAGAUAUUCUUUCUUUCAAUAAAGCAAUGUUAGGGAAACAGGCUUGGCGGCUAGGACAACACUCAUCCUCUCUUUGGAGCAGCUUGUUUAAGGGACUAUAUUAUCCUCACAUGGACUUUUGGCAUGCAGCAAAGGGCUUCGACUUUCAUGGGGAUGGCAAAGCCUGGUCUUAGGAAGAAAUUCAAUAGCACCCCAAGUCAUGUGGAGAGUAGGAGAUGGAUCUAAGAUUAAAAUCAGGGAAGAUAAAUGGUUGCAAAGAGGUAUUAUCGAGGGUCCUAUAAUUGUUAAUGAACCCUCUUUAGUAUUGGAACUUAUUGAUAAAGAGGAAGGCAGAUGGGAUGAAAUGACCAUAGCGACACACUUUGAUGAAUGUUUAGCUGAAGAGAUUCUGACUAUCCCAAUUAAACCUCAAGCAGAACAAGAUCAACUUGUAUGGACCGGUACUCAAGAAAGCAAAUAUACAAUAAAAAGUGGGUAUCGCUACAUCAAAAAGAAUAUGGAGCAAUAUCAUGUGAACUAAGCAACAACUUUGUUUCAACCUCCCCCCUCACUCUGGAAAAAUAUUUGGACUUUGCCCACUCCACCUAAGAUAAGAAUUUUCAUGUGGAAUUUAUGCCAAAACGCUCUCCCAACGAAAGAUAACCUGUUUAGAAAGAAAAUAUUACUUGACCCCAUAUGUCCAUUAUGCAGUCACGAGAGGGAAACGGUUGAGCAUCUCUUCCUGUUAUGUUCUUGGACAAGACAAAUAUGGCAUAACCCUGUGUUGAAUAUUAAGAUAUCUAGUCAAGGCUUGACAAGGAUCGAAGAAUGGUUCUGCAAUCUUAAAGAGAAGGUAACUAACCCUUUAAACCUGAACUUGGUGACUGCGACGUUACGGAAUAUUUGGAAGGCUCAAAACCAGGCCAUUUUUCGAGGAAGAGAACCAAUGGCUUUGGCCAUCAUUGAUUCAGCUCAUGCAGCACUUACAAGCUACAACCGAUGGAAUCCAAGGAAGAGCAGAGUAAGAGAUAGAGUAGCUGCUGAAUCUGGAAGCGGAGAAACCCGAACGGGGAACAGAGCGUUAAAUGCAGAGCUACGACUGGGGAAUAGCGAACCGGGUGGUGAGCUGCAAUUUGGCAACCGAGUACCGAGAGCCGAAAUCAACACCAAAUCAAGUAGCAGAUCAAAAAGAGGAGAGUUGCGAACUCGAAUUAGAGAAUCGGAUCAUUGAUUUGGGUGUGAAGUAGGCGGAACUACGAUAAGAGGGCUGCAACCUGGUAUCAGAGAACCGGGACCCAGAGAAGAUGUCGGAUCGGGAAGUAGAGAAGGUGAUUUGAAAGGAGAUCUGCACCCUGGGGCGAGAGGUGAACUAAGAACGAUCAUCAAAGAGCAAGGAGACGAAGUAAACAGAGCACCAGCCCAUCAACCGGCCAGAGCAGAUGAAGGAUCGAGAAGUAGAGUAGGUGAGUCGAGAGGUGAGCUGUGCCUUAGGCUGAGCGGUGAACCAAGGCCAAGCAACAAACCGCCGGGAGCUGAAGCUGAUGUCGAGUCGCAAAGUAGAGUUGGAAGGGGAGAUUGCAAUAUCAGUACAGAGCAUUAAAUUGUCGAAGUGCAAAUCGCUCGGGGGUCCAUGAAAAUGGCAGAUCUAGAAGCUCGAGGAUCCAUGAAAACGGCAGAUUUGAAAUUCGAGAAGCCGAAACACCUCAAAUAUGGAUUCCACCAUCAGAAGGAGCUUAUAAGAUUAACAUAGAUUGAACAUAUGCACCUGGUUCGCUGGGAAAUUCCAUAGCUUGCAUAUGCAGAGACUCGGAUGGAAGGAUGGUGGGAGGAACGGCUAAAUCGAUCAGAGCUUCCUCCCCCUCGAUAGCUAAAACCCUAGCUUUAUGGGAGGCCCUCAACUUUUUCUUUUCUAAAAGACACAAAGUACUUAUUAUUGAGUCAGACAAUUUAUAACUGAUUAAAGCUAUGAACAGUUCUGAAGAGUUGAGUUGGGAAACUCAACCUCUUGUCAGUAAGUGCAAAGAAAAAAUGCGAGCCUUCCUAAAUGUUUAGACAGUCCAUUGCUUUAGAGAAACCAACCUUGUUACAGAUUGGGUAGUCAAAACCCAUAAGAAGAAUUACUUAUCUCUGAAUUUGGUCUUAUAUCCUCAUCAAACUUUGUUGGACAUUUUAUGUAAUGAUGUCCAUUUACCGGACCUCUCAUCUUUGCUUAGUAAAUGAAAUUCUUCCGUUUCUGACCCAAAAAAAAAUUUAUCUCCAUCCCAACUUUCCCUUGAGAAUGUGGAAAUUCAAACACUCCACAUCUUUAUUCCUAUAUGGAAAGAGUGCAAAGAUAACCUAAUUAAAAUGCAAGGAGAAUGAAGAUUAGAUCAUUUUUUCAAAUUUUUUAAUUUAUAUGAGGACUUAAAAUGGAGCUUGAGUUUAGUAUUAAAGUUCAGCUUUUGAUAAUUUAGUCAAAUCGAGUUUAAAUCAUCAAUUCCGAGCUAAAUCGAACAAUAAAGUCCAUCAAAGUCAGCUUCACAGCUCAAUAUGGAUCUCCAAAUCUUCUUCUUUUGAAAUACCUUAAGUCAUUCGAGCAAUAUGCCGCUACCGCGCGGAGACUUGAUUCUCAGACGUACUUUGCAUUAAAUAUGUUCCGACCUUCUUCAAUUUUCAGAAUUAUAUCGAAGCGAGGAAAAUACGUACUCCCGUAUUCCCUACGGAAGAAUUUGUGCACGUGCUGCCGACGUGCCCUCCGGGGCAAGGCAACAUCACGGAACUUUCCAGAACCUGCAACGGUAAUUUCCUCAUCCUUUCUUGUAUUUUUUCCCGGAAAAGUCCCGCCAGCCAAUGGGAACACAGGCCGCCCCCCUCGAUCGCGCUCCCACGCCAUCGGGCCGUCCAUCUGCCAUCCCUCCCGAUCCAACGGCCGCAGAUCGCCCCGCCGAACCUUCUGGAACCCCUCCAGUUCAAACCCUAACGCCACCCCCGUCCACCAUAAAUAGUCCUCGUUUCCAACCUCUGGUAUCUCCCAUUCUACUCUUUCUCGCUCUAGCGCCUCCGAAACCCUCUCUCUUUCUCUGUCCUUCCUCUCGAUCCGUGGAUCUACUUCUAUCGAAGCAGCAGAUCCAUCAUCCAUGGCGGGGAAAGGAGAGGGGCCGGCUAUCGGCAUCGACCUCGGGACGACGUACUCGUGCGUCGGCGUGUGGCAGCACGACCGCGUCGAGAUCAUCGCCAACGACCAGGGCAACCGCACCACCCCGUCCUACGUCGCCUUCACCGACACCGAGCGCCUCAUCGGCGAUGCCGCCAAGAACCAGGUCGCCAUGAACCCCAUCAACACCGUCUUCGGUAAGCUUCCGACCGUGUUUUCCGUUGCUCCUGAUCUGGAAAUUUGCGGUAGAUCUGGUCGGUGUUAGGUUGAUUCGAAUGCUUUCUGGCUUUAAGUUUCCCGAUCUGGAAUGGUUGCUAGUGGUGAGCCAGUUUGUGCGACAUGAGCUAGGUUAGAUCAGGAGGAACAGAUCUGUAGGGUUCGAGCGUAGGUCGUCGUGUGAUUGACGGGUUUUAGCCAUGAUGAAGUCUGGAUCUAUAGCUAGUGUUGGCUGAGCAGUUGACAAUGAGCUUGCUUCUGGAUUAAGAUAGCUAGAUGCCUGAUUUGUUUAGUUAGUUGGAAAAUUGCUGGUUGUUCCGAACUUUUUCAUUGCUUGAGGAUUCGAUCUGCUUAAUAUAUUUAGCGUGAACGGAUUUCGCCAGAUCGUUAUGGUAGAUUCUGUUGUGGAAUGCUUUAAAGGAAAGAGAUUUUUGCAAAUAGGACUAGUACUUGACCGCCUUAUGGCCUUGUCUGUGGAUUUCUUUUGUGGCCUUUGGUUUCAUAUAGGUUUAUGCUGUCGCAUGCAUGCCACUCGGCCUUUCGGCCGUUGAAGCAGCUUGGUGUCCUGCUAGUCAACUUAUUUGUUUUGUUUUAACUGAAAAUCAGCAGACAGUGUUUAAUGUAACUGUCUGAUUUGUCGAUGUAACUGUUUCUAUAUCAUAGGUACCCGCUGUGUUUGCGUUUUUCUUUGCAACCUCGAUCAUUUCCAUAUUCAUGGUGUCUAACCUGUAUCUGAUUACAUGGCAGAUGCUAAGCGGUUGAUUGGAAGGAGAUUCGCUGACGCCUCAGUUCAGAGCGAUAUCAAGCACUGGCCUUUCAAGGUCACUCCCGGCCCUGGUGAUAAGCCCAUGAUUGUUGUCAACUACAAGGGUGAAGAGAAGCAGUUUGCUGCUGAGGAAAUUUCCUCCAUGGUUCUUACAAAGAUGCGUGAGAUUGCCGAGGCCUACCUGGGCUCGACUAUUAAAAAUGCAGUUGUCACUGUCCCUGCCUACUUCAAUGACUCUCAGAGGCAGGCCACCAAGGAUGCCGGUGUCAUUGCAGGGCUCAAUGUCAUGCGUAUCAUUAAUGAGCCAACUGCUGCGGCCAUUGCUUAUGGUCUCGAUAAGAAGGCCACCAGUGUGGGAGAGAAGAAUGUGUUGAUCUUCGACCUUGGUGGUGGUACUUUUGAUGUGUCCCUCCUAACCAUUGAGGAGGGUAUCUUUGAGGUGAAGGCAACAGCUGGAGACACUCAUCUUGGUGGUGAGGACUUUGAUAACAGAAUGGUGAACCACUUUGUGCAAGAGUUCAAGAGGAAGCACAAGAAGGACAUCAGUGGAAACCCGAGGGCUCUAAGGAGAUUGAGGACAGCUUGUGAAAGGGCGAAGAGAACUCUCUCCUCCACUGCUCAGACGACAAUCGAAAUUGACUCUCUGUACGAGGGUGUGGAUUUCUACUCCACAAUCACUCGUGCCAGAUUUGAGGAGCUCAACAUGGACCUUUUCAGGAAGUGUAUGGAGCCAGUUGAGAAGUGCCUCAGGGAUGCAAAGAUGGACAAGAGCACUAUCCACGAUGUUGUCCUUGUGGGUGGUUCCACUAGGAUCCCCAAGGUGCAGCAGCUAUUGCAGGAUUUCUUCAACGGGAAGGAGCUCUGCAAGAGCAUUAACCCUGAUGAAGCUGUGGCUUAUGGUGCGGCGGUUCAAGCUGCAAUUUUGAGUGGUGAGGGUAAUGAGAAGGUCCAGGACUUGUUGCUGCUGGAUGUCACCCCCCUCUCUCAAGGUUUGGAAACCGCUGGAGGUGUCAUGACUGUCUUGAUCCCAAGAAACACCACCAUCCCCACCAAGAAGGAGCAGGUGUUCUCUACCUACUCGGAUAACCAACCUGGAGUCCUUAUCCAGGUUUACGAGGGUGAGAGAGCCAGAACUAGGGACAACAAUUUGUUGGGCAAGUUCGAGCUCUCAGGCAUUCCUCCGGCACCUAGGGGCGUUCCCCAAAUUACUGUCUGCUUCGACAUCGAUGCGAACGGUAUCUUGAAUGUCUCUGCUGAGGACAAGACCACUGGCCAGAAGAACAAAAUUACCAUCACCAAUGACAAGGGAAGGUUGUCCAAGGAGGAGAUUGAGAAGAUGGUCCAGGAAGCUGAGAAAUACAAGUCUGAGGAUGAGGAGCACAAGAAGAAGGUGGAUGCUAAGAAUGCUCUGGAGAACUAUGCCUACAACAUGAGGAACACGAUCAAGGAUGAGAAGAUCAGUGCCAAGCUCUCCGAAGGGGACAAGAAGAAGAUCGAAGACGCCAUCGACCAAGCCAUACAGUGGUUGGACUCGAACCAGCUGGCCGAGGCGGACGAGUUUG
rnacentral:lncRNA from 1 species